rnacentral:lncRNA from 1 species
CCCUUGUGGUGCGCGGAUGUCGUGAGGUUAGGUUCACCAUGCAUGGUUAAGAAACUUGAAUGGAUUCGUGUGCUUCUCACAGUUUGAGACUGCUUGAUCGCUAUGCUAGACUGAGUAAAGAUGGAACAUGAUGAUGCUAUGAACCCGAUGCUUGUUCUAUACUUUGUUGUUGGAACUAUGGUUGCUUAGCAUAAGUCGCCAAUAUAGACUAGUUAAUGAACUUAGAACUUGAGCUAAAAUUUGAAAGCAAGGACCCACUGUAGUCGCUUUUGGCAAACAAAACCCCUCAGCCAAAGAGCCUUGCAUGUCUAGAAGUGGUGGAGUAGUUUACCACCGGUCGGUUAAGUCUUGUUGAGCUUAGAAGCUCAGCCUUGUUUGUGGCUCUCUUUUCAGGUGAUGCCACCACUCCUGAGUUUGCUCCUGUUGGCACUUGGCCGCCCUAGCUCCCUCCGGGUUGGACGGUCGAGUGGGAUCCCUCCUUGGACGGCGAGGAAAGGGAUCACUGAUGUCCUGAUCGGCCUCAUCAAGGACAUCCGACCCCGGCGCUAGCUUCCGCGUGUUUUACCUUCUGUUUGUUUCUUCAGAACAUGUUAAACUCUGAUUUACAACCAAGUAUGUAACAACUUGUUAAUCUUUUGGUGGACCUGUUGUAUUCUCUGGAACCGCUCACCUUCGUGUGAGUUUGCUAACUCGGUCUUGUUAAGUGGUUUAAUCGGAUGAAAUCUGACGGCACUUUGAGUUAACUUGACUAAGGCAUGAGUGUCGCGUAUCAGGCGACUUAACCAUGCUUUAAUCAAGGUAAUCCGAGGUGGUUCCGCCACACCUCUGUGGUUUAUGCUUCCAACCAUUCACAUCUGUUAUUCUCCAUCUUUAAAAACCCUAACGCUACCACUUGCACUGCCGCUACCACCAUCAGCCGACACAAGCGACCUUAAGUGUCAUAGUAGCUUUCUCUUCCUCCCCUUACGCGCCCCGAGGUGAUGUGUGUGAAGAAGAUGGGGAAGAAGACCGACAAGUCCAAGGGAAAAGUCACGGAAGAAUCGAUGAAAGGUUCCAAGAAAGGGAAGGAGCCACAGCUUCCUCCACCCAAAUGUGGGACUACAGAGCAGACUGCUCCGCCAAAUCAAGCAUCCACUUGGAAGAUGUCCACCAUGAAGAAGGAAGCAAUUCAAGAGUUGGUGGAUGCAAAAUUGCUGCAGGAGGAUGCCGUCAUCAAUUGGAGGUGCGCCUAUGCCAAUGCUUGGAACUUUGAGGCCCAUCCGAAAGAGACAGUGAUUUGGGCUCAUUUUGUGGAGAGAGGACUUGCUGUUCCUACGUCGGAGUUCUUCAGAGGUAUCCUCAACUUUUAUGACAUUUAGCUUGUUCAUCUGAAUCCCAACGGGAUAUUGCACAUUGCAAUCUUUGCGCAUCUCUGUGAAGCAUGUUUGGGGAUACAACCCCAUUUUCAAUUGUUUCGCAAGCUUUUCCGCUGCAAGCCCCAGCCUAGUGAAGAUAGAAUGGCAGAACUCGGAGGUGCAGGGUUUUAGUUGAGGGACUCCGAUGUGUAUUUGGAGUACGAGACUCUGCCAUCCCAUGGCACCUAGAAAGAGAACCAUGGGCCUCCAAUGCCAGUGAUCAACGAGUACAACCCAAAGUACUCAAGCAAGUUGCUUGAAGAGCCUAGCAUCGAAGAUAGUCAUCAGGUAGCCAAGUUGUUGCAGAGCAUCGCAGUGUUGAACAAAGUAGGGUUGAUUGGGAUAAACGUGGCAGCCAGCUUCUUGAAGAGAAGAGCGCAACCAUUGCAUCUGCGCUAGACUUGGGGCUAUGAAUACUCAGGUUUUAAUAAUCCAUCGCAGAUGUUGGUUGAGGAUAUAUCUCAUGAUGUAGUUGAGGACUUGUUGGGCAAAUUUUUCAAGAAUUUCCAAGGAGUGCCCGAAGUUGAUGAAUCCAUUCAGGAGUUUGACAAAUGGUAUAAACCCAGAAAGGUAACUUGCUUUCCUUUUGAGUACCCAUAACUAGUAGUCGUUAUGUUUGCCAACUAGUAAUUCCUUAUGCAAGAGGAUGUCCUUUUAUAAUUUUCUCCUCCUCCUCCCCCUGAUGCUAAUGGUGCAAAAAAACGUGAAAUCUGUGCACUAUGUGCGCUUGGCUGAUGAUCCCUCAAAGGAGGAGGAGGAGGAUGGGGAUUCUGAGCUGCUUGGCGAUUCAGACAUUGCGUCGCCUAAUUCUGAGUUGUGUGAUCAUAUUUCUGUGCAGUCUUGGGUUCUCAAAGGGUAUAAAUUUGGAACUGAUACCUCGAAGCGUCCAGCAGGAGAUGUUGGUGAUGAAGAGGUCCCUGCUCCAAUGCCGAAGAAAAGACGGACCGUAGUGCAUAAGCGAUCAGUUAGCAAGCACUUGGAGAUGUUCAAAGCUCCAUCGCCGGUAAUUAGCUUUGUUUAAGAGCAAUGUGUUGAAGUAUGAGUACUUAUAUAGCUUCCUUGAUUAGUCGAAUUGACUUGUUUUGACGUUUAUGUUUGCAGGUUGUUGAUGGCGCAGGUGAAGACAUUGAGGAUGUUGCGGAUGCAAUGUAUGGAGCUGCCGAGACUACUUCUGAUGAUGUAGUCACGAUAGCUAAGGACGCGGCUUGCUAGUAUAGUUUCCUUGGAGACAUCUGUUGAAGAUGCAGUCAUGAUGCCCGAGACAGCUACUACUCAAGUAGCCGUUGAUCUUGAAGUUAAGAGUGGUGGAGUGGGCGACCCAUUAGAGACUACCAUAGGUGGAACUGUGAAGACGCCCGAAGUAGUUUCUGAUGCCACUUUUCCAGAAGUCCCUGCUAGCGGUGAGUACGCAAGUACUGGUAGUAGUCGUGCGUACGUUGUCUCUGAGUUGGUUCUUUCAGGUCUUGGCAAAAAUACCGAGGAGUUUCCACCCAUACCGGCUAGUGAGCCAGCUCCAAGUGUUCAGCCAGUUCCCAUGGUGAAGAAACGUCAUCGAGUUCCUCCUUGGUCUGCCAAGUAAGUACUAUAUUGUAAUGGUUUGAUUACUGACUUUACGAUUAGUAGUUGCAUUAUUAAUCUUGAAUCAUGUUUGAUAUCAGGACUUUUGAGGAUAUUGUUCUCGAGAGGGUGAGCGUGGAGCAGGUUGAAAAACCGUCAUGCACAGACUCUGCUGCAGCAGCUAUUGUCGAUUUGACAAGUGAAGACCCGGCACAAACUAGUGACGUAGGUGCAGUGACUCUCGCAGCCGCCAUACUGCGGGAUGUAAUCAGCUUACUUGAGAAUCUGGCGCUGCCAAUCCCUGAGGUUCUUAAUGAUAAUCCUCCCUCCGUAACCGAUACUGCAACAACUACAAUAGUGGCAUGUAUCAAAGAGGGGCCUGUAGUAGUCUCACAAAGUAGCAAGGCAUCUGGGGAGUAGGUUGUGCCAACUGUUGUGCUUGAGAAAGCGGCGGGCAAGAAUGUUUCUGAAGCUAGAGCAUUUUUUUCUCAGCAACUAGUCCUUACGCCAAGUGUGAGGGCUAGUGUGGCAGCCGAGGCUCCAGGGUUGUCGCAGAAAGUUGAAAUUUUUGAGAGUCCCCUGGAAGAGCUGCCACCAAUAUCAAACUUCAUGAACUUGAAUCAGCAGUUGAUGGCUUAUACUCAGGUGAGUUCUUAGUACUGCAUUUGAGUACUUAAUUUUGUAGCCUGGCGCCAUUUCCACUCGUGAAGAGUACUAAUUGUUUGAUUGUAUAGGAUUUAUAUGAAAAAUCUCGCAAGAAUAUCCAGGUUGUCCAGGAGUGGAGUAAGGCUACGCACCAUGUGGCGCAGUUGGAGAAGGACAUUACUGAGUAGCGCCGCCGCACUGGUGACUUCCUGAAGAAGUAUGAAGAUGCCAUUGAGUCCUUUCGAAUUGAAAAGGCAAGAAUUUGAAGUGGAGAGGAGCCGUAUGACGAUGCGCAACAAGUCCUUGCAGCAAAAACUGGAGGGUGAGUACUUAUACUCAUGACUUUUUGAUCAUAAUUUUGUAUUCUAUCAGUUUCCCUGAUUGCUUUUACUGUUGCCCCUUCUAGAACUCAAAGGUCGGGAAACCAAGCUCAGUGUCCAAGUGCUGGAUUGGAGCAAUGCUCAUAGUCGUGUUGCCGACAAAAAUGAGCAACUCAAAACCCGUUUAGAGGAGUUAGAGAGAGACCGUGAAAAAUAGAGUAAUAUGCAUAGAGAUUUCAGGGUUAUGUUGGUCGAGGCUAUGCUUGCUAUCAGAAGUCAUGAAGCCUCUUUGAAGAAGAAGGAGAAAGAUCUCAAAGAGUUAUCCGAUGCAGCACAGGCCCUGGUUGACAUGAUGGAGCCCCCCAAGGAAGGAGUAGAGUCUCGCCCCUUAAUCGCGAGAUUGAGGGACGCACCGGCCCAAAUCACCAAUAUGGCGAAAUCCAUUUACAAGCAUGUGCUGGCGAUCAUCAAGUCUUUUUAUCCAAAGGCAAACUUGGCUCUGGUCGCAAAUGGUAUCGUUGGAGAUUGUAGCGAUGAAGCGUACACGCAAUAUUUGGAGGAUCUGGAGUCGGUCGCUGAGCGUGUAGCGGGCUUUAUCAAUUUGGAGUAGUCUCAGUUUCUGUAUUGACUUGUAAUUUUGCCGAUGAACUUUAUGUAUCUGAACAAGUAUCUAUUGUUUCUCUUGGGGUGUUGAUCAUUGUAUAUGUAGUGAGAACUUGCUUGCAGAUCUCUCAAUGGGUAGUCUUGCGAGUAAUCAUUGAGUUGGCAGUUAGAGUUCCAUGUAGGCCCCAAUUGUUGCAGAUGGUUGCGGAGAGCGCGCAUGUGAUCAUAGUAAUCGUUGCAUUAUUGCCGUGAAGUUGCAAGGACACACGAGUGUACUAUGAAGGACUUGUUGGUUUGUGUCCUGAGUGAUUCACAUGCAAGCUUUGAUUCUACUCAGGCAGGCUUUCACGUGGGUCUUGUCCUUGUGAAGGACAAGUCGAGUUACUGUGUAGUCACAAAUGCGCUAUGCUGCCUAGCCUUCCGGCUAUAAAUAGUCCCCCUAGCUGCCGUUGCUGAAACAUGGAUCCAAUUAUAGCGAUGGUUGGUCUUAGGUUGCUUCUCUUUGACAAUAGCAAAUUUCCAAUGAGUGCCCCGGUGCUAGAAGAUUUGCUUCAACCAUGGAACACUUUGAAAUGUAGUAGUUGGGUAUGGGUAUUGCGGGUAUACGGAAAUGUAACUUUAUAGCGCUAUAAAAGGAUGUGAACCGUCCCCUUUGAAACCGACACUAUUCAUCAAUAAGACAGCCAAAGUUACACUCGUUCGACGUAUCUCUGCUUUCGUGUUGUGACUUCGUCUUACUUUACAUUCGACAAGGGCCCAACAAUUGGCGCCCACCUUGGUCUGACCCAACAAGUAACCCAUGAUGCCGCCACAACGGAAGAAGAGACCUGCAGUGCAAAGAGAAGUCGGGACAGAGGAGACCGGUCAGAUUAUAACUCCCGAAGCCACAGAUCAGGUUCUUUCGGACAAGGAGGAGCGCCUUGCAAGAGUCGAGCAAACCCUAAGGACAAGAGCAAUGAAUAAGAGACCCGCACGUGAGGUCAACCACCAAGGCCAACAACCCACAGCAAACGAAGCUACCGACCACACUAACGGCCAACAGAGCCAGCAACCUAUAAUGCCCGAAGCUACUGGCCGCACCGACCUAGACAAUGAACUAGACUCAGUCCUCCGGGAGAUAGAGGAGGUCAAAAGAAAAGAGGAACAGUUAGCACGACAGGUGCAACAGCAGACGGAAGCCUCGAGCAGACUAUCAAAGUUGAACGAAGCUAGACGAUAGCUAGAAGCAUUACAGAAAGAAAUUGCGGAGCUUGAGAGCCCACAUGAGAAUGCAAACCCAGCCGUAGCUUAUUUCCACCAAAGCCCCACCGUUGAUUAGGCACAGUUACAGCCCAGUUUCAACUUCGGGCAAGGCACCCAACAUCACUCAUCAGGGGUGUCUCUCGUGAUUGACACCACCUCACUGCUCUCGAUCGGACUCCAAACCACACCGUGGCCAGCAACAUACAAGCCAACCACCCUGCCCAAAUUCAACGGACAGAUAGAUCCACGACAAUUCCUAAUGAGUUACAAAGCCGCUGUAGCUUCAGCCAGGGAGGAUGAUGUCGUCCUCGCCAAGUCCUUCAUAAUUGCUUGCGAAGGCGUGGCACUCAAUUGGUACUCACUACUCCCUCCACACAUGGUGAUUAGCUGGCAUGACCUCAAGGCGAAGGUCACACAAAACUUUCAGGGUUUCCAUCACUCCCAAACGGCCCAAGCAGACCUUUUCCAAUGCAAACAAAAAUACAAGGAGCCACUUGCAAAAUAUGUAAGAAGAUAUGUCCAGCUUCGUUCCCAAGCGCCGCACAUUGAGGAAUUCGUAGCAAUAUCCGCAUGCAUCGCGGGCCUCACCCCUGGCCCAACAGCGUCGAAGUUAUCAAGGAAGGAUCCCAAAACGAUGAGUGCCCUUUUUAGCAAACUCAACAAAUACAUCAGGUCCAACGAGGACCACCGCAGAAGAGUAGCGGUAUGCAACAAGGAAAGGCAAGCAAACCAGAACCGAAACUGGCAACCUUCACCUUACAACAAGCCUCAAAACUCUAGCCAAAACCGUGCCAUGAACAUUGAGGGAAACCAAAACCAAAACAAGAACCAAAAUCAAAACAACAACACCCAAAGAGGGGGCUACCCGGGUAGAGGACGAGGUCGAGGAAGACAGCAGAAAUCAUUCUACUACGUCAACCAUGGCCACCAGAACCAUCAUAACACAGAAUGGUGCCCCAAAAAGAAAGAAGAAGAGAGAAAGGCUACAGAAGAAGCCGCGAAAGAAGCCGUGCAAGCACCCAAAACAAUCCACCACACAGCUUUUUACCCGCACCCAAGUUUUUACCCCAACCAGCCUAGCUUCGCCAAUUUCCAGCAACCAACGAGCUGGCCUCUUCCACCACACAUACAACCGUACCACCAAACAAUCCUGCAACAUGCCAACCCAAAUCCACCUCAGAAACCCCAAGCAUACCAGCCAUAAUGUCCAAACCAGAGCCAAGCACGCUAAACAACAACCAAAAUUCCUUACCUACCUUCGGCAUGAUAAUGCCAAUUGCCAGGGGCUCCUCUUUAGAGUUCGAGAACAAAAGGCAGAGGCAAAACUAUUUCAGAGAAGUCAUUGUAAUCAUACCCGAGGGACCCCCAACGAAGCAAAAAUGGGCACACAUGCCCAUAACCAUCACAAGGGAAAAUUUCAAGCUCAAGACAACCUCGCACAACGAUGUGAUGGUCAUGAAAGUGCUGAUAGCAGGCUGGACGGUUGGAAAAGUCUUAGUUGACAUGGGCAGCUCCGCGGACAUCCUUUUCGCAAACGCUUUCAGAGAAAUGAACAUUGACAUGAACACACUCGACCCAACCGAUAUCCCACUUCUCGGCUUUGGUGGAAAGCCAGUGAAAGGUUUGGGAAAAAUUGAUCUCCUGAUCUCAUUUGGGGAUUGCGACAAUGCGAGAACAGAACACAUCAUAUUUGACGUGGUGGAGAUGCACUACCCCUAUAAUGCAAUACUUGGUCACGGCUUCAUCACCAGGAUGGAUGCAACAACUAGACAACUGUACCUAUGCAUGAAAAUACCCGCGCACAAGGGGGUCAUAACAGUGUACGGUGAUCAGCAAAUGGCAAGAAACAUAGAAAGAGGGGCAGCUCCGGGCCAAAAGAAUGUCCACCACCUAGCGCCAUCAAGCGAAGCUGAGAGCACAAAAAAGAAAAAGACAUACAACAAGCCUAAGAGGGACAAAGAAAAAUAAAGAUCAGUGCUAACGGCGAAACAAAGCGGGUACUCCUGGACGGAUACGUCACAAACAGGUUUGUAACAAUUGGAGCCAACCUCAAUCCCGAAGAAGAGCGCAACUUCAUCGAGUGCCUCAACAAGAACAAAGAUAUCUUUGCCUGGUCCGCAUGUGAUCUCAAAGGAGUGGACAGAGAAAUCAUCGAGCAUAGCCUAGACAUCAGACCAGGAGCGAAGGCAAAGAAGCAGAAGCUAAGGAAGAUGUCCGAUGAAAAGGUCCAAGCCGUAAAGGCCGAAGUCGACAGGCUCUUCGAGGCCAACGUAAUCAGGCCAAUCCAGUAUCCUAAGUGGCUCGCUAACACAGUGCCAGUAAAAAAGAAAAAUGGCAAAUGGAGAAUGUUUAUAGACUUUACAGAUCUCAACAAGGCUUGCCCAAAAGAUGAUUACCCUCUCAAGAGGAUUGACAAGGUGGUGGAUGACACUACAAACAAUGAAAUGCUCUCACUACUGGACCUCUUCUCGGGGUAUCACCAGAUCAGAAUCAAGAAAGAGGAUGAAGGCAAAACAAGCUUCGUGACACCCUUUGGAACGUUCUGCUUCGUGCGUAUGCCAGAGGGCCUAAAGAAUGCAUGCCAGACAUUCUCAAGGGUGACAACAAUAGUCCUGGACAGCUAGCUUCGGCGUAACAUCCUGGCUGACGUAGAUGAUAUCAUCAUCAAGAGCGCCAAGCGAGGCGACCACAUUCUGGACCUCGCAGAAACAUUUGCUAACCUGAGGAUAGCCAACCUAAAGUUAAACCUAGAAAAGUGUGUGUUCAGGGUUUAGAGAGGAAAGGUCCUAGGCUGCCUAGUAACAACAAAAGGCAUUGAGGCCAACAUAGAUAAAAUCAAGGCACUGGCUAACAUGUCGAAGCCAACUUCACUAAAGCAAGUCCAACGACUCACGGGUAGGGUUGCCACGAUAAACCGUUUUAUUCCAAGAGCGGCAGAGCGAAGCCUCCCCUUCUUCAAAACACUCCGAAGCUCCAGGGCACUCGAAUGGGGACCUGAGCAAAGCAAAGCAUUCCAAGACCUCAAAGAGUAUCUGCAGUCUAUGAUAAAGCUAUGCCCGCUAGAACACAAAUCACCACUGCUAUUAUACGUCUCAGCCUCAGCAACGGCCGUAAGCGCAGCACUGAUACAAGAAAAAGAAAUUGAAGGAAAAAUGAAGCAAAUACCAGUUUACUUCGCAUCCGAAGCCCUGAGCGGCUCAAAGCUACACUACUCAGAACUGGAGAAAAUCGCAUACGCAGUCGUUAUGGCAGCACAAAAACUGCGACACUACUUCGAGGGGCACAAAAUAAUCGUUGUAACCAGCCAGCCUCUUCAUGAUCUUUUCUCAAACAGAGAAGCUUCCAGCCGUAUCGCCAAAUGGGCGUCUAAACUCUCAGAGUUCGUCGUCGACUUUGAAAGGUGCACCGUCAUAAAAUCCCAAGCACUGGCUGAUUUCAUGGUCGAUUGGACAUGGCCAAAGCAGGAGUCGAAGCAAUUUGAAACACCAUGGGUUGUUCACUGCGAUGGGGCUUGGUGCCGCAAAGGGGCAGGGGUAGCAGCAAUAGUCACAUCACCAACAGGUGUAAGAAUCAAGUAUGCAGCGAGGCUAGAUUUCCCACCAACCGCAAAGUCAACCAACAACACCAUAGAGUACGAGGGGCUGCUGCUGGCCUUAAGGAAAAUGAAAGCCAUAGGGUAACAAACGUUCAUCGUUAGAACGGACUCAAAGGUAAUCCGUGACCAUAUUGAGAAAGACAGUGGGGCCAAAGAGCCAGAGCUCGUCAAGUACCUUGAGGCAGUACGUGCGAUGGAGAGGCACUUUCGGGGAUUCGAUGUCAAAAACAUCCCAAGGGCACUAAAUGACGAUGCCGAAAAACUUGCAAAAGUAGCAGCAGAGAACGAGCCAAUUCCACCUGACACAUUUUGUAAAGUCAUCACCUCACUUUCGAUCAAGGAAGAAGCUUCAGCCCCUAUCAACGCCAUCCAACAUUACAAUUGGCGUGCGAGCAUAAUGGCUUUCCUUAGAGGUCACUUCGAGCCUCGGAACGAAGCCGAGCAUAUACGCCUAAAGCAAAGGACAAGGGGCUACGCAAUUAUCGAGGGGCAACUCUACAGGACAGGCAUUUCAGCACCAUGGCUUCACUGCAUCGAUUAUGAAAUAGGCAGCGAAUUGCUCAAAGAAAUACACUGUGGUUUUUGUGGAACUCACAUUGGCUCAAGGGCUCUAGCAGGAAAAGCAAUCCGUCAGGGAGUCUACUGGCCAUCAUUCCACAUGGACCUUACUUGUACGAAGCUGUGAGGCCUGCUAGAAGACAGCAAGGCAGACGCAUGCACCCUCACUCCCGAUCCAGCUCAUCCUACCUUCGUGGCCUCUCCAGAUAUGGGGCAUGGACCUAGUUGGUCCACUGCCAAUAGCAUAAGGAAAUUGCAGAUUUGCAGUAGUUGCAAUAGACUACUUCACCAAAUGGGCCGAAGCCAAACCACUGGCCGUCAUAACAUCGGCUUCGGUACAAAAAUUCUUCUGGCAAAACAUUGUCUGCCGGUUUGGAGUCCCAAGGGAACUAACCGUUGACAAUGGCAAAUAGUUUGACUACGUCUCAUUCACAGAUUUCUGCGCCAGCAUCGGCACGAAGAUAAAAUUCUCGUCUGUAUACCACCCGCAAUCAAACAGAGCUGUGGAAAGGGCGAACAUCACCAUAUUUACCGCAGUCAAAAAACGUUUGUUCGAUCAGAAAAAGGGCAAAUGGGUUGAUGAGCUCCUAAGAUUCAUAUGGUCCCAUAACACGACAGAAUCCAGGGCAACAGGUUUUACUCCGUUCAAGCUCCUAUUCGGAACCGAAGCCAUAACUCUUGAAGAAAUAAAAAACAAAAUUCUAAGAGUCCUUAAGGCCGGGGAUGUCGACGAAAUUGCAAGAAUUGAGAAAGACAUGAUUGAGCUCGACAUCAACAAGGCCAACAAAGACCUGGACAAGUAUUAGGAAGAAACCCGAAGAUGGAGGGACCAACACAUUCGAGAGAGGCAGAUCAAUGUCAGCGACCUUGUCAUCAAGAGGAAAAAGAAUUGGGAAAACCUAGGCAAGCUACAAGAGACUUGGGAGGGCCCCUACAUUGUCAUAAAAAGUGGCAGGCCCGGCUCUUUCCACCUCGCAGACCAGCAUGGAAAUAAUCUCCCCCACACUUGGAAUAUCGAUAGCUUGCGAAAAUACUACCCAUAAUUGUACAUGUUACCUUCGGCUUGCGGAACUAUAAGCAAUGCCGAAGGUAACAGAAUAGCUUUCUCUUUUUUUUUACUUUCAAUUCUACCUCAUUUGUAAGGUCAUAGAGUCUGGACAGAACUCUUUUCCUUGCUAGGGGAUCCAUAAUGGAGGCAAGGUUUUUAACGAGGCAGAUCCAUGUACACCUUUUUUCACAACGAAAGAAAGGAAGAUUCCCCUAAAAAUUUAGAAUCCAAAAAUGCAACAACAAGUUGCAUGACCUCGCACCAGAGUGCGGAGGAGAUUUAGCGUAAAAAAUGCAACAACAAGUUGCGUGACCUCGCACCAUAGUGUAGAGGAGAUUUAGCUUACAAAAUGCAACAACAAGUUGCGUGACCUCGCACCAGAGUGCGGAGGAGAUUUAGCGUCCAAAAUGCAACAACAAGUUGCGUGACCUCACACCAGAGUGCGGAGGAGAUUUAGCAUAUAAAAUGCAACAACAAGUUGCGUGACCUCACGCCAGAGUGUCGAGGAGAUCUAACGCGUAAAUGCAACAACAAGUUGCAUGACCUCGCACCGGAGUGCGGAGGAGAAUUAGCGUAUAAAAUGCAACAACAAGUUGCGUGACCUCGCACCAGAGUGUGGAGGAGUUCUAACAUGCAAAUGCAACAACAAGUUGUGUAACCUCGCACCAGAGUGCAGAGGAGUUCUAACAUGUAAAUGCAAUGCCACUACAGAUUAAAGAUGCCAAGUACUCCAACAGCAAGUUACCUCUCCAACACCUCUCUUGCAACAUCGCAGUGGGGUGACGUUUUUUGAAAAAACACGAAAAAUUUCUGCGACUCUGCAAGAGAAGGGUCUGCGAGUCCGUGUCAUCUGACUUCUCUCUUGCAACAUCGCAAGGGGGGUGACAUUUUUUGAAAAAACAUGAAAAAUUUCUGCGACUCUGCAAGAGAAGGGUCUGCGAGUCCGUGUCAUCUGACCUCAUAAAGUGUUGGAUGACAUUUUCGAUCUCACUCGGCAAAUGUUCAAAAAUGGCAGUGAACACAAUCAAAGUAAAAAAAAAAGCUCCAAUAAGGAGACUGAUUUCUUCACGAGUAUUGACCAGAUGGGGGGGUGCAUUUUCAAAAGAAAUGCAUCAGCCCAACCUUGCACAAAGUCAACCGAUGUACAAUACAACAACAAAUCUAGACGGCUACAGUUGAAGCAACUCCGGGUCACUGUAUCAACUGGCUUUUGCAUUCUUUAAGUCGGCGGGCUGCCUGAAAUGGCAACCCGACUUUGACUUAUCUAACUUCGCAAUGGGUCCACUUUGCCAGAAACUAGCGUGUUUGGACAGAAUAAAGCACGCAAUAAUUACAAGGUCGGACACAUGGCAAAAAGCUGACACAUAAGUACCUUACAGGGCACAAUUUCACAUACUAGUAAAGUAUCUGACUUCGUCAACUUUGUACACCGAAACAAAUCCCCCCAUAGCAUACAACAACCUACUUCGCAACAUCCUUGUCAUCAUCAUCCGUGCCAGGCUGCAAACGUAACUGCGCCAACCAAUCGCGCGCAAGCCCCUUUACAUAAUCCUACCCGGAGGUUGACCAUAAGCGCUCAAACAAGUUUUUCUUCGCAUUUUCCACGACGUCAGACUUGACAGCGGAGCCAAUCUCCGGGGCGGUUGGCAUAACAUAAUUAUCUUCGAAAAUAGUCCUAAUGUGCUCACAUCCUUGUUGUUCCAGCAAGUGAAGGGUGCUAUCCAGGCAGAACAUAGUGGAGUAGUCAUUCAAGCCUUCGAGGACCUUCGUCUAAAAGCCACUCGAACAUCUAUUCGCAUCCCCCAUCUAACGGGCAGUCAUCAGGUUCAGCACCAAACGCACCGAGGGAAGCUUUGUAAGCUUCGUGAACUUUCUCAAACCUCUCCCUCACUGUGGUCUCAAUCUGGCUCAGCAAUUUUGCCUUCGUUUCAUACUCAGGCUCCAUCUGGCUAACCUUAGACCUCAAAUCCGUGAUAACCUUGCUAUCACGCUGAGCACCUUCGUGUAGGCCUUCAAUAAUCCUGUCCUUUUCCUUCACCUGGCCCUCCAGCUGCAUCACAUCUGCCACCAAGCGAUCAAUCUCGUCACCCCUGGCCUUGUAAUUGUCACCGAGUCUGCGAGAGUCCUCUUUUAGCUUAGCAUUCUCAGCCUUGACCCUCUUCAUCUCCAAAGACAUUGCAGCGAUAGUCACUUCCAACGAAGCUACCUUCUUCGAAAGCUCCGAGGCUGCUUUCUCGCUCUUAGAAAGCUGAUCCCUUGUAAUCAUCGAAGAGUAAGAGACCUAUAGAUUUUAAAAACCAAGUUACAAAAUAACGAAGUAAAAGACAACACUCGCAAGACAAACCACCAAACUAUCUCAUAAUUGAGACCUUCUUUACGAGGUUGGUCUCCAAGUUAAAGAGCUCUUCCAAGCUCAUUGACUUCACAGCUUGCUGAAAAUCUACGCACCAAAAGAUAUAGUCGUAAGCGUAAAACAAAAAUUGGUAAAACCAAGGACAGCAAAGCCAUCUAGAAGCUGCUCUUACCCUCAUACUUUUGUGUAGGGAUACGAGGUAGGCUACGCUACUCGACGGACUACUGGUGCGGAAGAUGUAGAUAUGCGUCGGUGCAGUGAAGACGAUCACGUAGUCGUACGUAGUCGAUCAACGUAGUCGUACGUAGUCAAUCACGUCCAGCAGCUCCUCAGCAGCUCGUCCACGUGCACAGCAAGAUCGCCUCCGGUACCGCGGCUCGUCGUCGGCUCGUCGGCGGCUCGUCGAUGGCUCGUCCAAGUGCUGCAGGCGCAACACCUCCAAGGUAUCCACACGUGCAGGGAGGAAGCGUCCCAAGCCGGACUGCUAGAUCCGCGAGUUGCAACAGGCGAGGGCGUGGGAGGCGCGGCAGGUGUGUUUCGCCAAAAGGUGUAAACCCUAGGGCGCCCCCACCCCUCUAUUUAUAGAGGUUCCUGAUGGGCCUCUGGAUCCGAGGCCCAUUAGUACUCCUAAACCUAAUCCAACUCGGAUCAGAUCCGAAUUGGGCUUCCAGCCCCUUAAGUGUGUGACCCUAUGGGUUCGGAUACGUAUAGACAUGGCCCGAGUACUCCUACUUGGCCCAAUAGUCGGUAGCGGCCUCUAGCAAGAUGUGCCAACUCCUAUACGCAUACGAAGAUCAUAUCAGACGAACCAUCACAACAUCAUAUACAUGCUAUUCCCUUUGCCUCACGAUAUUUGGUCUAGCUUCAAGCCGACCGCUCUUUCUCGAUCCUGUGAUUCGGAAUCCCUUUGUAGGUUAACUCUUAACCGUACGUAGCAUGGCCAUGCAUUUUCGGAUCCGAUCACUCGAGGGGCCCAGAGAUAUCACUCUCAAUCAGAGAGGGGCAAAUCCCAUCUUGAUUGACCAUGUCUCAUAGCAUGCUUCUUGACAAACCCGAAAGCUACCUUUAUAACUACCCUGUUACGGUGUAGCGUUUGAUAGCCCCUAAGUAGGUCAAUCCACAUCUAGAAUACAUGCGACAAUCUCAGGUCUAAGGACAAAGCGUAUAUGUUGUUUAAAGAGAGAACUACUUCUCGUGUUGGGUCAGUCCUAACACAUGUCUCCACAUGUGUCCACAUUAUUAGUUCAACAGCUCCAUGUUCAUGACUUGUGAAACAUAGUCAUCAACUAAUACAUGUGCUAGUCUAAUAUUCAUGUGUGUCCUCACAUGAACUCCGACUAGGAACAACUUUAGAAUAACCAUACAAGUAAAGAGUUUCACAUACAAUUCACAUAAUUGCAAAUCAAUUCAAGUAGCCUUUAAUGGAUAUUCAAUGAACACAAUAUACAAAUCAUGGAUACAAAUGGAAUAUCAUCAUCUCUAUGAUUGCCUCUAGGGCAUACCUCCAAUAUUUUGUGCCUCAACGGUGACCGGAACAACCUUCUCUCCAGCCUCGCCCUUAGACGCCACCACAAUCUUCCCGCCACACAAAUCCCCAACCCCUCCUUUACCUUUGCCCUCUCCCGAAGUCGCCGCGCCCGCCUUCUCCACCCUUUUUGAACCGCCAACAUCUGCAUAGUGCUCGCAACCUUCAUCUUCAGCCCCCCAGACCGAAGAUAGGUUAUGAGGAUUAUAAACCCUACCUUCAGCGCAUGUAGCUAGAAUCUUCGUGCGCCCGCUCAAGCCCAGACACUCGUUCAGUCCCUGAAGCCUUGCCGGCAACCUCUCACCUACAUCAUAACAUUUAACUUUCAGCCUCACAUGAUCCUCACAACUAAUCUCACCAACGCCCCCCAUAGUUUCUUCCAACUCCUUCAAAAAUACCGCUGAGGCCUCACCAGAAUCAAAGAACCGUAGCUUUGGUAGAAACACCUCUACAUGCUUACCAGAUCUCACAGCUUUGGCACACCCACCCUUUGGAUCAGAUGAGAAUGCAUCCACAAGCUUCGCCUUUUUGGUGGCAACCCCCCUCUCAAGUUUCCCAACAUCAGUCAAGAGAGGCUGCGCGCCCUUAACCUUCGAGCUUGUGGAUGGCACCGUGGUCUUGGUACCAGCCGCUGAAGACGCGUCAACCCUGACACCCGAAACGGUAACACGAGCAAAUCGAGGUUUCUUGGUGCCUCUUUUGAUCCACGCGAUGGGCCCAGUGGACGAAGGUGCAAGAGCCGGAACCUCCUUAGGAGGGUGCAUAGAGAUAGGAACAAUGUAUGCUGGAUUGCUCAAGUCACCAGACGAAGUUGUCGACCCCGAUGGCAACGCAGCAGACGAAGCCCCCACGGUCAUUUCUUUCCUUUUGUGCACCUCCAAAUUCAAGGUCUUUUGCUUCGCCUUAGCGGUCACUUGCGAUUCAACAGUGAGCUUCACCACGGGUACGAAGUCAAAUUUUGCCUUCUUCCUCUGCUCAAGACUAGCACCAUGACGGCGCCUCUUGCCCGUAACUUCGGGGUGAGGCGGAACCACAAUAUCAUACAAGUCGAAAAUCCGAUUGACACAACGCCCGUGUCCCAUGAUGUCUUCCAAAGAACACUUCUCCGGUUGGGUCACGGGACCCAAAAUUUCAUGAGUUAUGUCUUCCACUGUCCGAACAAACGAGUCUGAAUCUGUAUCCCUCUCAACACUAGUUUCAAAGCAGGAGUAGUGAACCGGUUUGUCAUUCCAAGACACCUUCUUCUUAACAAGCUCAAACAGCCUCCCAAACUCUGCGAACAAAGGCCACACUCUAGCCACAACAUAUUCCUCUACGAGGUCACGUCCAGAUAUUAAGGGCCCAACAGCCCUGUAAGCAGCCUCGCACCUUGUCACAGCCGCCGAAUGAAUAAAAGACGGAGUCAUGAGCACAUCCAUCGGCCCAAAUGGUGCAUAAAAUGAGAAUCCAGUCCCAAUCCCCUCCAUCUCAAUUUUAAUAUAAAACCAAUGCGUCAGCCAGGCAUCGUCCCACUUGUUUCUCUACGUGAAGGUAAGCUCUAUCCUUGGCAAGUUCCUCUUAUCAUUCUUCCUGCGUGGCAUGAAGGUGCAGCACCUGAAGUGAUUCUCACAAACCCCCUUUCCAUCCCCAGAGUAAACCCUCUUCUUCUGGAUAUGAUGUUCGUGUAGCCUCACAAAGCCCUCCACAUCAAUGCUACCACCAAAUGUACGUUGCACCCAGUAAAACUUAGACAAAUUCAUGAUGGCGUUGGGGGUCAGCUGGUGCAACCUAACGCGAUAACGAUCCAAAAUCACUGGCAACUGCCUGUCAUAGAGAAAUCAAAGCCCCGAAGUAAACAAGUCUCUGAAAACAACAACUUCACCAACCUCGGGCGCAGGUACCACCUCGUUACCAGGUGCUCUGCCCACCCCCUUAGGAAAGAAAUUAUUUUUCUCAAAAGACGCGAUGUCUUGCAGAGUCACUUGAGAGCGCCCGAAGUAAAGAGUGGGAAUACACUAAACUUUUCCACUAGCAGGGUCGGUUGCCCCUUCCCUCACCCCAACCUCGGCAUCCCCCUCCUCGGCUUCGUCAGCCUCCUCUUCAGCUAUGCCAACCUCAUUCACUAUCCUAGCCGUAUAGGACAGCUAUCCUCAUUCACUAUCCUCUUCACCCCUUCCUCCUCCUCUUCUACCUCCUCACCCGAAGAUACAGUAUGAAUCUCCAUCUCACCUGUCCUAGCCGUCCCUGCUACAUCCCUCACGGCACGGCCUUGCUCAUCUUUGCCUUCGUCUUCAUCAGAAGACCACUCAGUCGAACUGCCGGAAGAACCUUCCCCCGCUGAGACCAAACCAUUUUUCGUAUAAAUCCGCUUCUUUGACCUCUUUCCAUCAACCUCUCCACUAUCUAUCAACACAGACUGCGAAGCAUGGCUAACUCCACCACCGAAGGCAGCCUGAACGGCCAACUCUUCCGAAGACAUCCUCCGCGCAGUCUGCUUGAUACGGGCCACCUGCGACAAUAAUGACAGAGAAGUAUAACAUUGACAACGAAGACAAAAUGUUAAAAGAAAUCAAGGAAAACAACUGUGACCAAACAAACUGAAGCUACCCUUACCACGAAAAGUGAAGCUGUCGUGACCCAAACGCUUUCUGCCAAGAAGACACAACGAAGGCACAAGCAAUGAAAGCCUAUAGCUCAAAAAUGACGGCGUAAAAAAUGACCUGGCCCCCCGGCAAACCUUAUACAGGCACAGUAAAAAAUGCCAAAAGACGCCUUUAUGGCGCCUCGAAUCACCAACCAUCGCAUGGAAAAGGACGUUGGCACCCCUACCCAACGGUAAAUGCCUCGGUACAUGCCACCUCUCAGUGUGACGUUUUGGGUGCGUUCUUCGACUUUUCACGGGUUCAGUCGACGGUGUUUUUUUCCUCGCCCACGAGAGGCUACUGUUGGGGACCGCCCCACAACGCACCCUGAACGAAGCCGGCGCAGAGCUCUCCUCGACACCAACUUGACCUCGUAGUUACACUCUUCCCCGAAGUAAAUGGUUAACCGAAGCUAACUCGUUCGAAGAUAUUCGUUCUUUGAUUUUGUAGGCGAGGAUCCCCGAAGUUACGGCCUACACGGAGCUCCUAGCGACUCGACUUUAAGGAGAUGCUACGACCAAAGCCCGAGUUUGGCGGGUCUCAGCCAACGAAGGUGGAGCAUGCAUGGAGGCGCACUUGGUGCGAGUGAAGCUGAAGAGUAGAAAAAGGAAAGGUCAGAGCAGUCCUGGGUUCGCUUCAACCGUGGAACACUUGUGUAAAAAAGACUUUGGGAGGGGCUCGAAAUGUAAUCUCACUUGAAACCGACAUCUCGAGUAAGGGUUAAGUUACUGUCUUGUACGAAAUAUGCCUGGAAUGUAGUAGUUGGGUAUGGGUAUUGCGGGCAUACGGAAAUGUAACUUUAUAGCGCUAUAAAAGGAUGUGAACCGUCCCCUUUCAAAUGGACACUAUUCAUUGAUAAGACAGCCAAAGUUACACUCAUUCGACGUAUCUCCGCUUUCGUGUUGUGACUUCGUCUUACUUUACAUUCGACGAGGGCCCAACAUGAGGUUGGUGGCCUAAGUACAGUGCCGCUUAGUCUACUGACUAUGGGUAGUAGCAACAUAGGUGCUCAAUGUUCUAGGAGUUUGUGACUUCUUCGCCGGAUAGUUGUUGUAGCCUGUACGAUCCUGGUCCUGUGACUUUGGACAUGAUGUAAGGCCCUUCCCAUGGUGAGUUGAGUUUGUGUAGCCCCAUUGUGUCUUGAAUGCGCUUGAGGACCAUGUCACCAAUGUUGAAAGAAUGUUUUUUGAGGUUGCGGUCGUGGUAAUGGCAUAGUCCUUCAAGGUAUCUUGCUGACUGUACAAGUGUUGCACAACGUGAUUCUUCUAAGAUAUCAAGGUCUAAGCGCCUUGUUUCCUCUGCUGCCCCUUCGUCGUAUUGCUCGACCGCAGGAGACCUCCACAUGACGUCAACAAGGAGUAUGGCUUCUGACUCGUAGACAAGGAAGUAAGGCGACUGCCUAGUAGGCUUGCAUGGUUGAGUACGUAACCUCUAGAGAAUGUUGGGUAGUUCUUUGAGCCACUUGCCUCCUUUGGUGUUACCAAUGUCAUGCAACCUUUUCUUGAGAGCUUCAAUUAACAUGCCAUUAGCACGCUCAACCUGGCCGUUGGUCUUAGGUGAGCGACGAAGACGUAACGAACGUCGAUUCCGCUAUUCUUGCAAUACUCCUAUAAUUCAUGAUUGUUGAAAUUUGAGCCCAGGUCUGUGAUAAUUCUGUUUGGAAAACUGUAGCAGUGAACUAUUUCAUCCUGGAAGUCGAGAAUCCUGUCAGCCUUAGAGCAGGUGACUGGUUUUACCUCGAUCCAUUUGGUGAACUUAUCAAUGGUGACGAGUACUCGAUUGAAUCCUCCUGAGGCUAUUGGGAGCGGACCAAUCAUGUCGAGCCCCCAACAUGCGAAAGGCCAUGUUGGAGGUAUGGUGAUGAGUUUGUAGGCAGGGAUAUGUUGUUGCUUGGCAAACAACUAGCAAUCUUGACAUCUGCGGACUAGUUGCUCUGCAUCUGCCAGCACAAUUGGCUAAUAAAAUCCUGCUCUAAAAGCUUUGCCUACUAUUGUUUUUGAGGAUGCGUGAUUCCUGCAGAUUCCUUUAUGUAUUUCCGCCAAGAUGUCCUUGCCGUCCUUGCGAGUGACGCACUUCAUGAGUACUCCCGAGGAUGCUCCUCUUCUGUAGAGUUUAUCUCCGACUAGAACGUAGCUUUUGCCUCAUCGUGAGACUUGUUCUGCCUGCUUUUUGUUAGAAGGUAGCUUGUGCUAUUUAAUGUAGUCAAUAAAAGGAGUCCUCCAGUCUACUUUGAUUAUCAUGAUUUCUCAGUCAGGUUCUGGUGGACCUUUACUGGUGGUUGCUGGAUUUAUUUGUUCUGUUAUGGACGGCUUGCAAAGUUCAUGAACUAAGAUGCCUGUAGGAACUUCCGCACGUGUUGAACCCAUUUUGGAUAAAACAUCAGCAGCAACAUUGUUGUCGCGAACCAUAUGGUGAAAUUCAAGGCCUGAGAACUUGUUCUCUAGUUUACGGACUUCCUUGCAGUAUGCAUCCAUGUUUUCCUUGUUGUGGUCCCACUCAUCAUUGACUUGAUUGAUGACUACUAAUGAAUCACCAUAGACUAGUAAUCUUUUGAUACCCAGUGAGAUUGCUAGGCAAAAACCGUGUAGAAGUGCUUCGUACUCGGCUUCAUUAUUUGACGCUUCCCAAAAGUUUUGAAGAACAUGCUUGAGUUAUUCACCUUUUGGGGAUAUUAAGAGUACUCCUGCACUAGCUCCUUGAAGCUUGAGUGAUCCAUCAAAGUACAUGACCCAAUGUUCAGGAUGUUCCACCGGUGUAGGCAGUUGGUUUUCCCUCCCCUCAGCCAUGAAAUCGACUAAAGCUUGGGAUUUGAUUGUUGUUCUUGGUUGAAAUUUCAAGGACAAUGCUCCAAGUUCUACUGCCCAUUUUGAGAUUCUGCCCAUGGCAUCCCGAUUGUGGAGGAUCUCGUCGAGUGGAAAAUUAGUGAUGAUGGAUAUGAUGUGUUCCUGGAAGUAGUGUCGCAAUUUCCGCGAAGUGAGUAGUAUGGCGUAGAGUAGCUUCUGGACCGGCAGGUGCCGUGUCUUGGAGUCUGAGAGUACUUCACUGACAAAGUACAUUGGUCUAUGGACUUUGUAGACGUGGCCUGGUUAGACCUUGUGACUACUAUUUCUGUGCUGACAACAUGAGUGGUUGCAACGAUGUACAAGAGCAAGUCUUCAUUUGGUGUUGGAGCUUUGAGGAUUGGUGGCUUUGGCAGGAAGUCUUUCAGCUGUAGCAGAGCCUUAUCCGCCUCCUCUGUCCAUUGAAACUGGUCUGGUCGCUUGAGUAAUUUGAAAAAGGGUAGACCCCAUUCUCCAAGUCUUUAUAUGAAUCUGUUUAGGGAUGCCAUGUAGUCUGUCAGCCAUGCAACCUGUCGGCUUUAAACCAAAUUGAUCUUGAAUUACCUCUGCUAUCCGUGUCGUCCAGUCUGCUUGUUGUUGAUGAACUACUGGCUGGGGAGCCGGCACAUGUUGGUAGAUCGACGGAGGGAUGACUGGGUGAUGAACGAAAGCGUGUGGCGGGUUCUGUGGUGACGUGGCCGGCUGUGUAGUCAGCAUCUGGUGUCUCAGCGAACCGGCCAUUUCAACAUAUAGUAUAAUCGGCGCAGCGCCCCGGAGCGCUUCAGCAGUCUCUGCCCCCUUGCCAAUUUCCGAUAUGGCCGGUUGAUACUGUGGAGCUGUCGGCCGCACGGUCGAUUGGAAGGGUGCCUGGGUCGGAGAGCCUCCAUAGCUGGCCGAUUGAUCUUGGACGGCUGUCGCCGAUGGUGCCCCCCAAGGCACUGAAUUUAAUGAUGAUGAUUGCGCAGAGGAAAGCUGAACGGAUUGAGGUGGCGCCUGUGACUGGAGGUAUGGUGCGCUGUUGUAUCCCGGAUGCAUUGAUGGUGAAGGAGCGUUGGAUCCUCCAUGUUGAGCUUGGAUCGGCUGAGGAGCCAAGUGGGAUAUGCUUGGAAAACUCCUGACCGGGGCUGUGAUAGGUGGGGUGUAUGCCGGCCCCUGGUAUCCUUGAGACACGCCAUUGGCCAGGGAGCUGAUGACGGCAUUGUAUACCAUUUUGGUCAUCACUGGGGAUUGAUCGAUGAAAGCCUGGUAGACAGACUAUUGAACCAUCUCGAACAUCUUGCUUGAGUCCUCGGCGAUUGUAAUCUGGCGGGGAGUUGGAAAAGGAGCUUUCUUGACAGUUUCCCCGCUCCUAGUACGACUGAAGGAUUGUAGGCAUGUCUUCUGGUACUAUGCUAUCUGCUUCUCCAACUCCUUCUGGUCGUCCCUGAGGUCUGCUUCCGUCACCUCGAUGACGUUGUCUUCGGAGAUUUCGGUAGCUUUCGACAUGGUAGUGGUCGUAUUGGUCCCACUGGGCGUGCCAAAAGUGUGUUGGCACUAAAAAUCAGCCGAUUGAAUCUCAGUGUCAGACACACGAUCUGGGAGAAUCUGCUUAGCUCCUGUUCGGGUAAUCACCUUGGUGCGGUUCGCGCGGCGUGCCAGCCAAUUUGACCUGUUGAUUGGCAAGGAAAGAAACGUGUCAAAUCCUAGAGGCUACGAUCGGCUAAGGUUCCGAUCUCGAGGAAGCUUAUCAGCAAAUCAGCUGAUUUGCUAUAACAAGGAAAUCGGCUAUGGUAAAGCUGACAACUAGGUAACGUUUGUAAAGAAAACUGCCAGAAUAAACUAGACAACGCUACAGAAACAACACUUGAAACAGAUCUAAUCGGCUAUACGGAAGUAAUGGAUAAGAGACAAACAUAAAUAAGCUGAAAGCUCUAAUUCCAAGCUGGAUAACUGGUGAUAAAACUAGAACAACAGGUAAAACCUAGAAUUCUAGUAAAUAUCGAUAACUGGUGAAUAAAUCUAAACGAAACGAUAGCGAUGCGCCCGAAGUUAAAGCUUAGAUAUUACUCGAUAAACGGAACUUAUAGAAUCGGCCGGAGAUCGUGUCGAUGCAGCCCUGCCAACCCGUACGAACUCGUGAAAGAAGAAAGGUAUUGGCGAAGUCGCCGACUUGAAAGUAAAGUAUGAGAAAAUAGUAGAUUGUUGUAUUAAUUUGAUGAUGAUUGUACAGAUCUCUAAAGAUGGCUAUUUAUAGCCUAUUACAACCAACUUCUUAAUCGACUAGGAUUCUAUCUCUAAUUUUAAAUGAAAACGAAUAUUUACAAGUACAACUCAUAUCGGAGUUGGUCGUUACGCUCCUGUGGGCCAAUCUUCUCUUCGCAAUUCACUUUAAGCCCAUAUUGGCCCAAUUGCCCCAGCCUCUUAAUCGGCCGAUUUCUACCAACUCCAUCCGGCAAAACACUGCAGCGCCAAUCGGCCGAUCUUCAACUGUAGCACCAAUCGGCCGAUUCCCAGUCGUGACCUUUUUGACUCACCACAUCGGCUAAUCCUCUCCCUUCUUGACGCCGAUUCCAUACGUGUCAAAAUCUGGCGUCAACACUAAUGAUGAACCCAAGUAGUUUGCCGGAAGGUACACCAAAAACGUAUUUGGAAGGGUUAAGUUUCUAGCGGAAAGCUCGCAGGCUUAAGAAGGUUUUCUUCAAAUUGAUGAUUAGGUCCUCCUGGUUUUUUGUUUUGAUGACUACAUCAUCCACGUAAGCUUCUAUGUUGCGAUGCAAUUGUUUCUCGAAGCACAUCUGUAUAGCGCGCUGGUAGGUUGCGCCCGCGUUUUUUAAUCCAAAUGAUAUUGUUUUGUAUGAAAAAGCCCCAAAUGGAGUGAUGUUUUGGCUUGAUCUUCUUCUUUGAGGCUUAUCUGGUGAUAACCUGAGUAACAGUCGAGAAAGCAUAGUAAAUCGCACCCGGUAGUAGAGUCGACUACCUGGUCGAUCCUGGGUAGUCCAAAAGGGUCCUUUAGACAAUGUUUGUUGAGAUCCGUGAAUCGACGCACAUUCUCCAUUCAUUGUUUUUCUUGCGAAUGAGUAUAGGGUUGGCUAGCCAAUCAGGGUGGAAGACUUCUUUGAUGAACCCUGCUGCGAGUAGUUUGGCUAGCUCUUUUUUGAUUGCUUCUCGUCUGUCUUGGGCGAACCUCCGGAGACGCUGUCAUUUCAGGGUAGCUCUGGUUCAACAUUUAGAGAAUGCUCGAUCAGUUCCUUGAGCACACUAGGCAUGUCGGCUGGCUUCCAGGCAAAGAUAUUGUGGUUAGCCCGAAGGAAACUGAUGAGCGCAGUUUCCUAUUUAGGAUCUAGCCCUGUCCCAAUCAGAGCUGUCUUAGAAGGGUCGCCGGUCUAGAGAUCAACCAUUUUGAAGUCUUUCUCAUUUGUUGGCUUUACUUUUGCUAGCCCCGAAUUGUUCUCUGGGAUUUCGAGUUCUGUUGGCUGAAGUUUCUUUGAAGCUGAAAAAACUUGUUGCAUGGGGUUGGGUGCUUGGGAAGUUGCUGCAAUCUCCAUAGCUUCGGUGUCGCAUUCAUAAGAUCGCCUUAGGUCUCCUCGUAGCGUUAAUUCUCCCUUGGGUCCUGGCAUCUUGAUAUCCAAGUACACGUAGUGUGGUAUGGCCAUGAAUUUAGCCAGAGCUGGUCUCCCGAGUAUGGCAUGGUAAGAGGUCUCGAAGUCGGCGACCUCAAAUCUGAUGUACUCGGUUCGGUAAUGUUCCUUGGUGCCGAAAGUUACUGGUAGGAUGACUUGUCCUAGUGGUAUGGCUGCAUUUCCUGGUACAAUCCCGUAAAAGGGUGAGUCUGUUGGAGUGAGCAUGUCCGUGAUGUCAAGACACAUCUUUCUUAGUGUUUUGGCGAAAAUAACGUUUAGUCCGCUUCUGCCAUCAAUGAGUACUUUUGUUAGUCUUGAACCUGCAACAAAUGGGUCGAGUACUAGGGGAAAUCGGCCUGGUUCUGAGAAGCUUGUCCAUUGGACCCUUCUGCUGAAGGUUAUGGGUACCUCAGACAAUUUUAGCGGAGUUGGAUCUAUUGGUUCGAUUGCCAUAAUUUCUCUGAGUACCAAUUUACUGGAUCGCUUGGAUGCGGUACCCGGGAUUCCACCAAAAAUUACAUUGACUAUUUUGGAGGCGGUCUGGAAGUCUCCUUCUCCUUCUUCAUCCUUAUGGACUUUGUUUUUGCCCUUAUCCUUUUUCUAGUUGUACACUUCGGGAGGUGGUGGUGCGAGUAAAUCUUGCAUUACUCAGCGCAUGCUGUAGCAGUCUAUUGCUGAGUGUUUGCUAUUUGGGUGCCAUGGGAAUUGUUUUUUGAGUAGUUCGGUGAAGCUUGGUCCGUCGUUGUGUUUGUGGGAUCCUUUCUUUCCUGAGUUGGUCAUGGAAGCAACGGUGUUGUCAGGUUUGCAUUUGUCAUUUUGGUUACUCGAAUAGUUAUUUCGAGUCUCGUUGUUUCGGUUCCUGUCCUGCUCAUGACUGCUAUUGUCGCGCCCGCGGUUGCGAUGGGAGCCGAAUCGCUCGCGUUCUUUAUCUUCUUCAUCUACCCAUUGUCGCAUGAUAAUUUUGAGGUCUUUGACAGUGACUGGUCGUCGUCUGCCAAAGUCCUAGUAUGGUUGACGAUCAUAGAGGCUAUUUUGCAAGCACUCGAUAACGUCUGUUUCUGAAAUGUCAACUAUAGUGGCCUUCUUUUCGAAGAAUCGCCGUAGGUAGUCGUGCAGUGUUUCACCUUCUUUUUGUUUUAGUUGACUUAGGUUGAUCUUGUUCCCUGGUCUAGUCAUGGAGCCUACGUAGUUGUUGGUGAAGGCUUUUGUCAAAUCUUCCCAAGAGUCAAUUGUUCUAGGUUUGAGUGAUUCAAGCCAUGUUAGGGGGUGUGGGUUCCAUGCAUAUGGGAAAAUGGAUGACUUUUGUGUCAUUAUUGCCUCUGGCUGCUUGGACUGCCAACGAGUAGCAUCGGAGCCAUUGAAUUGGGUCUUGCUUGCCAUCAUACUUGGUGACUCUUGUUGGCUUGAAUUUUUCGGAUAGUCUUGUUCUCGUUACCCGUGUUGUGAAGGUGGGAAAAUGGUUGUAGUUGUUGACUUCACUUUUGCGGCGACUAUUGAUUAUUUCCCGUAGAUCGCUGAAAUUGGAUACUUCAUGAUUUUUCCUGAUAUGGCGAGGACUUUUUGCAGAAUUAGUGCAGCUGGCAUCUCCGACAUCCUUAUGUCGUACUGGAGCCUCGCGUUUGCUCAGUCCUUGGCUAUGUUGCCUUGGUUGGUUGACUACCUUGUUGUUGUUUCUUUGUGCUUCGUGGAAGCCAUUGUUGACUGCGGCACCCCUACUGCCCUCUCGAUGAGCUGAGUUGCGAGGAACAGAUGGGAUUGGUGAUUCUUUAUGGAGUAGUUUGUAAGCUUGUUCUGCGAGUUGUGCAAUUAGUCCAUUGCCACGCUGCGCAAGUUGACCUGUUAUUUUGUUAUCUCUGUCUUGAGGUAUGAGAGUUGAUAUAAGGUUGAUUGAGGCAAUUGCUGCGAGUGGAGUGUUGUGCUCUUGAGCUUGUACUGCGUCAAAAAUGCUCUUUCAAGGUUUGUGAUGGGAAUGUUUGUGUCUACUAGUUGUCGAUGUUCAGCUCGAGUAAUGUUUCGUAUCCUUCUUUGGUUUCUUUGAUCGGAAGUUUCAUCCUCUGGAGCGUUAGCUGAUGACGCAUCCUCUGAAACAUUAUCGAGCUGCACUAUCCAUCGAGGGGUUCUCCAUUGGCUAGUGCCCGCAUUGUUAUUUUGAGUGAUGACAAAGAUUUCUCUGUCUGGGUAGUAGCUUCCAGAGCUUGAUAUUGCAAUUUUUGUAGUGCUCUCCUCACGGCUUGAAGUGAGCGGGAUGCCUUCUUGGUACGGGAGGUUGUCUAUAUGAGCGACAAGGCAUGACUCGUAGUCGCGGGUAAGGAGAGAUGGCCUCAUUCUUGGCCAGUGAACAAAUCUGCCCUGCGGCGUUGAAGUUACUACCAAACCUUGGGCUGGCACUAAUAAUGGGAUUUCUUGGACGUGGUCCAAGUUGGAGUCGCAGUCCUUGUCUUACCUGUGUUCGAGUUGAGUUCGAGUGAGGAGACCUUAGUAGACUUCGGCUGUAUUGCGGAGUCCGUAUGGGAAUUGUUUUUGAGUUGAAGUCAACUUGUGAUGUGACUGGGGCUUCGGCUUGUGUCGACUAAUUUGAGCUGGGGUCGAGUCCGAAGCGUAGUCGAACUCGGUGUCACGGACUUUGAAAAUUUGUCUUUUCUUGACAAAAUCCCCCGUUUUUUACUGAGGAAAGCUUUCAUCGAGAGGUUUCUUCUCCUAGAUGCUGAUGAUCUGACGCUGAAAUGAUCCAGCGCCGUCGGCGAUGUAGAGCCAAGAUCCGAAAACAAAGGUUGCGCCUGCCUCGAAGGUGAAAGCAGGCUUGAUAAUGAUUGGUGCCAUUGAACUUGCGCAGAGAAACUCGGCGACCGCCCCUACCUGGCAUGCCAUCUAUCGGUAUUUUAGAUCGGCAACCCGCCUAGGGGGUACCCUAGGUGGUCUUUUGUGCGGUGGGUGUCAUCGAGAAUCAAGGAGUCGAUGGUGACGCAAGGAACAUGAUUUAGAUAGGUUUGGGCUGCUAGAUCGUGUAAUACCCUACGUCCUGUGUGUUGAUUGUAUUGAACUUGGAUGAGUUGUCUUUGAGGGGGGUCCUUGCCCGCCCUUAUAUGAUCGGGGGAGCAGCGUUACAGGCUAGAAUCCUAGUCGGAUACGGUUAGAGAGUUCUACUCGGUGUAGACAGAGUAGUUUCUAUAUGAAUGUUGACUAGUCUUUGGGAGUCCGAGUGGGCCACGCUCCUUUGCCACGUAGCCCUCGAGCCUUGAUUAUGUCCGAGUACACCCCUUAGUGGGCCACACAGGACCUACUUGUGGGCCUAGGAUGCAUGCCCGUCACACCGCCUGAUGGUGGAGAGACGGAAAAGGGGCGCACAUAGCCCACCUGUCCCGUCAGUCCCGCAACAUCGGCGUGGUGCUCUGGCGGGAACCCGUGGGUGCGAGAAAUCAUGACAAAUCGUGAGAUAACCCUUCGCCAUCAGUUUCUCAUAGCGCUCACUUAGGGUUCUUUGGCUGGGCUGCGCCAUGGGCCUUAAUGGGCCAUAACGCGAAUCAGGCUUUUGCGGCCCAUAUCGUUGGAACAUCUGUUCCUAUAAUAUGGAGUCAGUUUUUGAAAGCAUUCAGAGAUGGAAAACCACAUGAGCUUUGAGAAGUUCAGAGCAUAGAGGGCCAGGUUAUUAGUUAACCCAUCCUCGGUCUUAUUAUCGGCAUGAUUCCUAAGAUGGGACCUCUUCUAGCUCAUGUGGGUUUCUCCACGGGAUGUGCUGCAUGAGGCCAAGUUGUCUUGGUUCGCAAAGACAAACUAAGCAUGCAUCCCGUGCAGGCUCCCCUUGGGAAUGCAGUGUGCCUAGAGGCUAAAUCUAUGCCCAAGCUGGAGCUGGAUGUGGGCAUUGCACUGGAUUAAUGAUUCAAGGGUCCUCUCCAUGGAGGUAUGAUAGGUUUAAGAGAAGUCCCCUUAAGAGCCUCAACUGGAUUCUUCAAAUCCACUUGAGUCUUGGGGGCUGCACCCAUUGAGAAUAACAUAGGCCAGUAAAAAACCUUGUCUUGAGACCCUUGGUUGCUUUCUUUAAAUCCAGUCAAGGCUCGAGGGCUGGCAAGCAUAUGUUCAUCUCUGGACUGGAAAGAUGAACAUGUUAUUGCUUAAGAGCUCGUUUUUUAACCCUUGGCAAGCCUAUUGUAAGCUCCCCAAGGCUCAGAGGCGAAGUGUGACUUCGCCUUUGGCGCUCGUGUGGGAAAACGCUUAGAAAGGAUAAGUUGAGACUUCAAAUAAAGACCCUUGGCAAGCUUAUAUUAAACUUUCCAAGGCUUGGGGGCUAAGUGUAUACACUUCGCCUUCAGCGUGUGUGAUAAAGAAGACAAGGGGAGGAGAUAUCCUCGACCUCUUAGCAACCAUGAGUCAGGCAUGAACCACUUGGCUGAAAGUUGAGGACCACUCGGAUUUGAAGAAAACCACUUGGCCACAAACUAAACUUUUGGACAAAGGAUAAGUCAAGGUUGUUGUUCAGCCAAAAAGUGCUCGGGGGCUGCUGUGGAGGGUAUAACCCCCAGGUACCACUCGGAUGGGCCUAGCCGUCCUCCAAAGGGGCUACCACGGCCCAUACGAGGGGGACUCGGGAUAGGCGUAGGAUCAAGAUGAAGGAUCGGCAUCAAGAGAUAUAGUUGCAGAUAGGCAUGUUUAAAUAUAUAAAGAGAUAACUUGUACCGAAAGGUAGUAGAUUUCCUUGUAACCGACUAGGUUUAGAUCGAAUCAGAUCUGUAACCCUGCCCCCCGUACUAUAUAAGGGCGACAGAGACUCCGCCUCAAAAAUCGAAGCCAUAUUCGAUACGCUACAUGCUGAGAAUACAACCCCGAGCAUAGAACGUAGGGUAUUACAACAAUCCGGUGGCCCGAACUUGGUAAAAGUCCCCUGUGUCCUUGUGUUAACCAUCUAGACCUAGGUGCGGCGAUCCCCUCCACACAAUCUACCACCUUGGUCUACCCCUGUGGUGGACUGUUGAACUAUUCCCCCGACAGCGUUGGAGAUCAUCGCCCUAGAUGUGUUUGCCAAGAAUGGAUGGAGAAACAAUAAUAUAAUUUGUUUUUGAUUUCUUCCUAUCGUUUGCUACUAUUUCCCUUAUUUGUGCGAUCAGUUGAUGUGCUAAGAACAAGGAUUUGGGAUUUAGGGCGAAUGGGCUGAAUUUCAGUGGGAUUUGCCCAUUUCGGUUGGGCCGAGACAAAGUGAAACCGAUCAAAAAAUUUUGAUCCAAUUUAAACUUUAAGCCCACCAUCACAGCCCACGGAUGGCUCCCCUAGUAUAAAAUCAUGAGUCAUUAUGUGGAAACCCUAGAAAUUUAAUUUUCCUCCUCCUCUCCCCAAGCCACGCCCGCCAAGCUCUCUCCUCAUCACCCUCCUUCCAGUCCCAAUCCACUCCUCUCCGCAGUUCGCACCACCAUCUCUGCCCAGCGGCCACCAUUUCUAAUAUUUCUCUCCAAUCGUUGGUACGUGUAGGUGUCUUCUGUUCUAGGUCAUGGCUGAUCCAUCAUGUACAGCAGCUCGUGGGGCUCAUGGAGGCAUCUAGGAGUCAGGUGGUCAGCGGCCCUGUACGCGGUAGGAUGAGUGGCAGCAGUGGCCCUUGUCGGAAGGCGUUCCCGAUGAGGGUUCUUGGUGCGGCGUGGUGGCCGCAGGCUCCAGCGUGGAUGUCCUGGAGUAGCGCCUUUCCUUGCUCGAUCGGGAUGCAGCAUUGCAGGAUGCCAGUAUGGCUCCGCUUGUAGAGCUCCUGGUUGAUGAUGAUGAAAGAUUUGGCACGGUGGGCGAUCCUUCAUGCCUCUGUCUUGUCUGUCGGGAGCAAAUCGUGGAUGAGGUAAUUGAGGUACGGGGCUCUCUAGUUAGGUGGGGGGUCAGGUCCCUCUACAGGAUUCGAGUCGAUUUCCAUGACCUCAGGGUCGGAGGGGUCGGCCUCCGAGUCUAGGACAGGUGGCGUGUUGCCGACCUCCUUCGACUCCUCAUAAGGGUCGGCUCCCGAGUCAGGGACAAGUGGUGUGUUGCCAACCUCUCCCGGCUCCUCGUAGCGGAUCGAGGGCUUAUGCUGGUCACUGAUAAAGACACCGUCGGGGACUGGCUUCCAACCGGAUGCCACUUUUGCUAGUUCGUCAGCUGCCUCGUUGAAGCGUCUUGCGACGUGGUUGAGCUUCAGACCGUCGAACUUGUCCUCAAGCUGGCGGGCUUCAUUGCAAUAUGCUGCCAUCUUGGGAUCAUGGCAGCUCCACUCCUUCAUGACUUGCUCGACGACUAGCUGAGAGUCAUCUCGGAUGUCCAGCUCGAUGGCGAUGUGAAGCCCAUUGAGGAGAGCCUCAUACUCAGCGACAUUGUUAGACGCCGGAAAAUGGAGCCGGAUCAUGUACCUCAUGCGUAUGCCAAGGGGAGAGACAAAAACCAGGCCCGCUUCGGCACGAGCCUUCAUCAGCGACCCGUCGAAGUACAUCGUCGAGUACUCCUGCUUCUCUGGUCUGAUGGCGUCUGGAUCUCUGUCCAUUCCGCGACAAAGUCAAUGAGUACCUGGGACUUGAUGGCUGUCCGGGUGGUGUAGGUAAUGCCCUUGUCCAUAAGCUCGAGUGCCUACUUUGCAAUCUGCCCUGUGGCAUCCUGAUUCCGGAUCACUUCGUCGAGGGGGAACGAUGACACGACCGUUACCGGGUGGAAGGUGAAUUAGUGGUGUAGCUUCCUCUUCAUGACAAGGACUGCGUAUAUGACCUUUUGGAUUUGGGGGUAGCGGGCGUUGGAGUCGGACAAGACCUCGCUGAUGAAGUACACCGGGCGCUGCACCUUGAGGGCGUGUCCCUCCUCCUCUCGCUCCAGCACUAUAGCAGCGCUGACCACCUGGGUGGUUGCCGCAAUGUAGAGCAGGAAUGGCUCCAAGUUGAUCGGUGGGACCAGGAUUGGGGCCCUCGUCAGGAUAUACUUGAGCCGGUCAAGCACCUCUUGGGCCUCGGCGGUCCACAGGAAGUGGUCGGUCUUCUUCAGGAGUCGAUAGAGGGGGAGUCCUCGUUCACCGAGGCGUGAGAUGAAGCGGCUUAGGGUCGCAAGGCAUCCCAUGACGCGCUGCACUCCCUUCAGGUUUUGGAUUGGCCCCAUAUCAGUGAUGGCCGAUAUGUUCUCCAGGUUGGCCUCGAUGCCGCGCACGGAGAUGAUGAAGCCGAGCAGCAUGCCCCUCGAGACCCCGAAAACGCAUUUUUCAGGGUUGAGUUUGAUGCGCUUGUCUCUCAGCCUUUCGAAGGCCAGCUCAAGGUUGGGGAUGAGCUGGUCGCCUUUCUUGGAUUUGACCACGAUGUCAUCUACGUAGGCCUCAACAGUUCACCCGAUGAGGUCCCCAAAAUACUUGAGCAUACAUCGCUGGUAUGUAGCCCCCGUGUUUUUGAGGCCGAACGACAUCGUGACAUAGCAGUAGGGCCUGAAAGGGGUGAUGAAAGAGGUCACAAGCUGGUCGGACUCUUUCAUCGCGAUUUGGUGGUAACCGGAAUACGCGUCAAGGAAGCUAAGGGUUUCGCACCCUGCGGUUGAGUCGACUAUUUGAUCUAUGCGUGGCAAAGGAAAUGGAUCCUUUGGGCACGCUUUGUUGAGACCCGUAUAGUCAACACACAUUCUCCAUUUCCCGUUCUUCUUUCGUACAAGAGUAGGAUUGGCUAACCACUCGGGGUGGUACACUUCCUUGAUGAACCCGGUCGCCAAAAGCUUCUGGAGCUCCUCACCGAUGGCCUUGCGCCUCUCCUCAUCGAAGCGGCGCAAGCCUUGUCUCACCGGUUUGGAGCCGGCCUUGAUGUUCAAGGAGUGCUCGGCAACUUCCCUCGGGAUGCCUGGCAUGUCCGAGGGUUUCCACACAAAAACAUUGCUGUUUGCGCGGAGGAAAUCGAUGAGCGCGCUUUCCUAUAUGGGAGAUAGGGUUGCGCCUAUCCGCACCGUUCUGCCGUCGGAGCAAUCGGGGUUGAGGGGGACCUCCUUCACGCCCUCCGUGGCCUCGCAGGAGGUGGAGGACUCCUUGGAGUCGGGCAGGUCCUUGGCGUCCUCCGCAAGCCAGACCGCGUGGUCCUCCGAGCAAGUGAUGGCCGAGGCGUACUCAUAGCACUCAACAUCACACUCGUACGCCUUCUGGAAAGACCUGCCCACGGUGAUGACACCAUUGGGCCCCGGCAGCUUGAGCUUGAGGUAGGUGUAGAUGGGGAUGGCCGUGAACUUGGCAUAGCAUGGCCGUCCCAAGAUGGCGUGGUAGAUUCCAUGGAAGCCUACCACCUCGAAAGUGAGGGUCUCCUUCCUGAAGAUGGAAGGAGUCCCAAAAGUGAUGGGCAGGUCGAUCUGCAUGAGCGUCAUUGCUCGUUUCCUCGGCACGAUGCCGUGGAAUGGCACCUCCGUCGAUCCCCAUGACGUCAAGGGUCUCGGCGUAGAGCAUGUUGAGGCCGCUGCCUCCAUCCAUGAGCACAUUGGUGAGGCACUUCGUGCCGAUGAUGGGGUCGAAGACGAGGGGGUAGUGUCCUGGCUGCGGGACACGCUCCGGGUGGUCGGACUGGUCAAAGGUUAUGGCGGACCUUGACCAGUCGAGGAAGGCUGGGGUAGCGGGGUUGGCCGCGUAGACCUCACGGUGUUCCAGCUUUCGGCGGCGCCUGGAGUCGUAGGCUGCUGGCCCGCUGAAGAUCAUGAAGCAGCCAUCCACGUUGGGGAAGCCAUCUUCCUUCUCUCCGACGUCCUUCUCUUCUUCGGGCUUCCAUCUUCGGUCGCCCUUCACCGGAUUGCCUACAAAGUACCUCCUCAUGAGGUUGCAAUCCUUGUAGGCAUGCUUGACGGGGAACUCGUGGUUCGGGCAUGGUCCCUCAAGCAACUUGUCGAAGAAGUCGGGGGUGCCCUCAGGAGGCGGCUGUCCCCGUUUAUGCUCGGCAACAGCCACGAGGGGAGCCUCGUGCCGUUGCUUGUUCUUCUUCUUCUGCUGGCAGUUGGAGGUGCCCUCAUCGGAGUGCUCUUCCCACUUCGCCUUGCCUUUGGAGUGAUCAAAGAUUGCCCCGACGACCUCUUCGCCUGAGGCAAAGCUAGUGGCGAUGUUGAGGAGCUCCUAGGUGGUCCGUGGGCCCCUACAUCCUAGCUCGUGGACCAGGGGCCUGCAAGAGGUUCCCGCCAAGAAGGCUCCGAUGACAUUGGCAUCGGCGACGUUGGAGAGCUUGGUGCGCUUCUUGGAGAAUCGAUGGAUGUAGUCUCAAAGGGACUCAUCCGACCCCUGGCGGCAGCUCAGGAGGUCCUAGGAGUUUUCGGGGCGCAUGUACGUGCCCUGGAAGUUCCCUACCAAUAUUUCCCUUAGGUCAUUCCAGUUUUGGAUCCGACCUGACGAAAGGUGUUCCAGCUAGGCUCACGCUAAGUCGGCUAAGAAUAGAGGGAGGUUGUGGAUGAUAAAUAGGUCAUCAUCCGCCCCACCGGCCUGACAGGCAAGUCGGUAGUCGCUGAGCCAAAGCCUGGGGUUCAUCUCCCCGAACUACUUGGCCAUGUUGGUGGGCUGCCUGAAACAUGCUGGGAACAGCGCAUUCAAGAUGCGCGCGGAGAAGGCCUAGGCCCCGCUCGGUCGGGGCUUGGGCUCCGGUCUUCUUCACUGUCGUAGCAGCCACCACAUUGUACGUGGUAGCCGCGGUCAGCUCCGUCCUCCCUGUCCACGCGGGAGCGCCUUCGCGCAUCCAGGGUGUCACGAGCAUCGCAGACGGGACCAACGCGCCGGUGGACAGAUGGGGCUCCUCCACCUGCAGGCGGUGGGGUUCGUCGAGUGGGCGUGGCCCAAUUCCCCCUGCGGGGAGGCUGGUGGAGAGACUCCCCACACCUUUCAGGAGGCGCGGUGGGCGCUGCCCUGCUGGUGUUGUGCCCGCGUCGUCGGGACGUGAAGCCCUCCGCUUGCUGGACUGCGGUGCACUCAAGCAGGUUGCACACCUCUUGGUGGGCCUGUUGCUCCUCGGGUGUCACCGGCUUGGGGAGUCAUUGGAGUAGGGCGCGUGCGAAGAGUUGAGGAUGAUCCUCAUCCUCGCAGAUGCGCCGCUGGACGUCGCGUGCCUAUUGACGCGCUCCGCCUUCUUUGCGGGGGUGCUCGACCUCCUGAUUGGGCACCACGCGUGCCUCCGGCAGUCGAGGCUACUCUGGGACCCUGGUGAGGGCUCUGGCUGUAGCUGCAGCGCGUGGUGGGGGAGUGCGCUACCUCCCUUCGCCGUCGUCGUCGUUGGACCCCACGGAGUGCACGUCGGCCAUGAAGCACUCACGCGAGGGGGGUGGCUCCUAUUGUCGAAACCAGUGUCGGAGGCCGUUUCCAUUAUGCCCACGAACUCAUUGUUCGCAUGUGGAUCGUGCUAGGAGACGAACGUAAACCAUCAUCGUGUUGCGUAGGCCAAAGGGUCGCUGCUCCGAAGGAGGCCCCGUGGUGCGCGCCCGGCUGCUCACCACCGCUCCAGCGGCGGAGCCGGAGGUGACGGGGUGAGCAGGCAGGACGAGGAGAGGAAUCAGCUCGAUUCCCUCUCCCGUGGUGAGGAAGUAUAGGCUCCCGAAGCGGAUGUGGGAGCCGGGAGCAAAGCCGAUGUCGUGGUUGGCCAUCCGAAGCCGGUGAUGAUCAUCGUACGUGUAAAGGCCCACUACCUAGCGCGCCAACUGUCGGUGUCAAGAAUCACGGGUCAAGACUCCAGCAAGUAAAUUUGUUUUCUAUGCGCGUAAGGCUCGGAUGGUUGCACGAGAGGACAUGAAAUUUAUAUUGGUUCGGGCAGGAAUAGCCUUACGUCCAGUGUGGGAGGCUGCUCGUGUUACUCGUGCCAAGUUUGCAGUAGGGGUUACAAACAGGUGAGAGAGGGAAGCUGGUCCCAAGUCUCUGUGGGUGUGCACUGAUGCUCGUGUGGAAGGGUUGUGAGUCGGGGGUCGUUUGGUUCGCUCGAGAGCUGUCCCUUUCUCGGGCCCCCUAGUCCUCCUUUUAUGGCGUAAGGAGGUCACAGGGGUUACAAUCGAGCCAGGAGUAAAGGGAAAUAAAAAAGGUAAGCAAGGAAAGUAAGGCACAGGGAGACGGGCCGAGCCACCGGGGUUGCCGCCUUCCCUUCCGAUUUCUGCGUCUUAUUAGCAUGGCCACUGAGGAGGGGUGGUUGCCGUUGGGUCCCAUCAAUGACCCAGCGGUCGGCCACUGUAGCCGAGCACGCGAGACGUGUGUGGUGACCGACCACUAUGACUGUGGGAGUCGAUGAUGAUGAUUGGCCGCCGUAGCCGUGCAUGUUGCGGAUGACGGGCGACCACUGUAGCCACGCGUGCUGAUCGGGGGGCGCGGUUGACACGCUCUUGCCACCAGGCUGAGCGGGAAACCGAGCGGUGCCCCUUCCUUCGUUAGGCAGCAGGGGCGAUGAGUGCCCUGUGACGAAUGUCACAAGGGAGGGUUAGGAUGGUGCAGCUGUAGCCCUGUGCAGUCGUGGCAUUAGUGCGCCGCCCGAAGACUCCGACGGGUCACGUCGAGGGACGUGGGCACCUCUCCAUGUGUCAGAGCCGUAUUCUAGAUAUGGGCGUCCUAUCAGUUUGCAUUUAUGGCGAGAUUGGUGGGGGCCCACAAGAUCUGCGCCCUCGUCUACUAGUCCGCGCACGUCCUUGGGCGAGGUGAAGCUCUGUCCUAUGGGUCUGGAUACGUCCGACCCUUAGCGCCCGUGGCCGGGCGAGAUGGAACCUUCCAACGAGGGGUCGGGUGCGUCCGACCCUUGGCGCCCCGGGUCGGGCAAGGCAGAGACCUACUGCGAGGGGUCAGACCCUGGCGCCCCGGGUCGGGCAAGGCAGAGACCUACUGCGAGGGAUCAGACGCGUCUGACCCCUCUCGCCCGGGGGUCAGGCGAGGUGGAACUCUCUCGGUUGGGUAUGAGGAGCGGCCUCGGGAGGUCGGGCGCGUCCGACCCUGUGACCUGGGGGUCGGGACAACUCGGCGGAGGUCGCUGUUGCUGGAGGUGGGCUCGAGCCCUUAUGACCAUCAUUUAAGGAAUAUAAGGAAGUCAUUAAUAUUUCCCCCUACACUUUGCAUUGAGCUUUGUCAAAUUGUUGUGAACCUUGUGAGAAUUAUUUUGAUCAAGAUUCACGUGCACACAAUAUUCCCCUUGCUAUACUGAUAUGGGAGUUAGCAUUGUACCAUCUAUCCAUUCCACAGAAUAAGUGCUCCACCAUAUGUGUUGGUCUCUCUCUCCAGCUUUUGUUACAAAAGAGACAAGGGAUAUCGAACAAAAUAUGGACACAUUAAUGUCCAAGUAUUGAAAAAAAAAGAGAGUUGGACACAUGAAGGUCCAAAAGAAAAAAAAGAAAGAUAGCCAUGUCCUUAGAAAUAUUUACAAAGGGAGAGAGAUCAUACAAUAAGGAGUUUCCAUUCUAUCCACCAUAUCCAUACAAGUGCACAUUGUUGGUAUAAUUAACAAAUGCGAAUAAAUCCAUAAGUAUACGGAUACCAUUGUAACUUUCACCUCUGAGUAUUCCAAGGGUAUCGAAUCCAAGGAAACGUGUGUGUACUAACUCUUAGUUCAGUCGGUCCAAGUACACACCAAGAUAGGUGGCGAGGGUAGAGAGGAUUCCUAAUGAUAGCUCUAUAGGUGAGUUAAAGGUCGUCUACGGGUUAAAGAACUCGCUUCAGGCACCAGCUUACCCUGAAUUAGUCAGGCGCCUGCAGCCAACAGCUCUACGCUAUAUCCGAACAUGGAGGAUUACAAAAGACCAAUAGGGUUGUCACUACCUACGGCCUACCUCUAGCAACCCAUGUGAUAUAAGGCAAACGAAGGAUAACCCUUAGCCUAGACACCACGUCUAUGCUACUGAUUACUACUGCAGUCUAACUACGUCUGAUGUCUCGUAACAAACAUACAGCACUCCAUAUAAAUACGAAGUGACGAACCCACGAGUAAGAGAAUUGAUCUCACUCAACUAUAAGAACUAUAUACGAAAGGAAUCAUGAAUACGAACUUACUUCAUACCUAAGGAAGCCAAUAUCCGUAGAGGUACAAGCUUGGAGAAGGGUGCCGACAAACCUGGCGCUUCCCCGAACUACCCCUCACUCUCUCCCUACUCUAAGUACUAGCUAGGUAGCACCUUGCCUUUGUAAUGAAGCUCUAAACUCCUCUUGAGUUGUGUGUCUUGAAAUGAGACCCCUCCCCUCAUAUUUAUAGGAACUUGGGGGUUGGUUCCUUUGGGAAUGUUCAGGGAAUCUUCUGCAACCAUCAUUGCAAGGUCGGUAUCUGGCGACACAUGGCGACUUGAGGUGAGCGGAGCCAACAGGGGUUUCAGCCGACCCCUGGCAACCUCCUUAGCCUACCACCUUUGGCUGGGGUGGCUGCAAGGUGGGUCCUCACUUGUGUAUGGGGUGCUUUGUGGUGAAAUCUUGACAUUUACUCCCGUUCGUAGGCUCUUCAAUCCGUGUGCUUACUAAGGAUUGGUUGACAGUGUGUUUCCUUGCUCUUGAGGUGUAUUUCUCCUUUAAUGGACCUGUAUACAAAUAUUCACCAACACUUAUGGAAUUCAUUAGUAAUAACUCCUACCAUUACUUCUGGUGAUCAUCUUUAACGUGUUUAUGUAGGAGUUGGCAGCCUAUAUUUGGUACUUAAGAGCCAUCAACAACACCCUCACACUUAGCCUUUGCUCACUCGAGAACUUAGCCUUUGCUCGUCCUCGAGUGAAGGAAAAAAGACUAAGGUGAAACAUGUAAACCAUCCUACCUUGAGCUCCACAUAUAAACCAUCAUUAGAAGUAGGAUGAAGAGAGGCAAGUCUAAUGCCUUUGUGAGCACAUAUACACAUUGAGCAAUCUGAGAGGAUCAAAUGAGGAGCUAAGAACAUUUUUUUUUUGAAAACUUAUUGAAAAUCCCAAGUUACUUGACAAAAGGAGUAGAGGUGACUUGAUUCAAGACCGUUCCAUUCCUCAACUACCCAAGAUGGCAUGAUAGACACUUCAAAGUUCACAAGUGCAAGGUAAGGCUUGGAAUAUCUCUUAUGCUUGCCUCAUACCUUUGGAAGUUAUGUUUCACCUUAGUCCUUUCUCCUUCCCUUGAGGAUGAGCAAAGGCUAAGUGUGGGGGUGUUGUUGAUGGCUCUUAAGUACCAAAUAUAGGUCGUCAACUCUUGCAUAAACAUGUUAAAGAUGAUCAUCAACAGUAGUGGUAGGAACUAUUACUAAUGAAUUCCACAAGUGUUCUUGAAUAUUUGUAUGCAGGUCCAUUAAGGGAGAAAACACACCACAAGAGCAAGGAAACACAUUCUCAACCAAUUAAGAGCAAGCAAACAGAUUGAAGGGCCCACAAAAGGGGGUAAAAUGACAAGAUUCACCGCAAAGCACUCGGUACCCAAGUGUGGACCCACCUGGCACCUACCUAGCCAAAGGCGAUUGGCUAAGGCAGUUGCCAAGGGUCAGCCAAACCCCUAUUGGCUCUGCUCACCUCCAACUACCACGUGUCGCUAGUUACUGACUUUGCAAUGACGAUUGUAGAAGAUUUCCUAAAUAUUCCCCUCGGAACUGACCCCCAAGUGCUUGUAAAUAUGAGGGGAGGGGUCUCAUUUCAGGACAAUAAACACAACCACACCUUCCAACUCCACUUCCACUCCUAUCAAGAGAAGAGCUUAGGCUAGUGCUUAGGAUAGGAAUAGAGUGACAGGGGGGGAGUAGCUCAGAGGAGUGUUGAGUUCCUCAGCACUCUACUCCGGUCGUGUACCACUAUGGAUGCUAGCUUCCUUUUGUAUAAGUAAGUAUUCGUGAUUCUUCUAUGGUUUAGUACUUUAUAGUGAGAUCAGUUCUCUUACUCGCGAGUUCGUUGCUUCCUAUUUUUGUGCCGUAUAUCUGCUAUGGGUUGACAGACGUAGUUAGAUUGCAGUAGUAAUCAGUAGCGUAGACGUGGUGUCUGAGCUAAGGGUUAUCGUUCAUUUGUCUUAUAUCCCACAGGUUGCUAGAGAUAGGCUGUAGGUGGUGAUAGCCUUAUUGGUCCUUUGUAAUGCUCCACAUUCAGAUAUAGUGUAGAGCCGUUGGCUGGAGGUGUCUGACUAAUUUAGGGUAAGCCUAUGCCUGAAGCGAGUAUCUUGACCAAGGGAUCGACCUUUAACUUAUCCAUCACUAUACAUAGGAAUCUUCUCUAUCUUUUACCCACCUUUGGUAGGUUGUCCUGGGAUACUAAAGCGUAGGUAUACACAUACGUUCCCUUGGAUUUGAUAUCCUUGGAAUACUCUAAGGUAAAAGUUACAACAAUAUUCGUGCGCUUGCAGAUUCAUUCGCGCAUUGCUAAAAUACCCAACAGAGUGUAUGGCUGUGUCAGAGUUUGUAUGGCCAACAAUUAUUCUGGACUGGACAGAGUAUUUGUGGUUAGUUUGUCAGAGUUUGUAUUUGUGGUGGAGCAAUUAUUCUAGAUUGUGGUGCAAUUAUUAUGUUCUGUGAAAGUUUUUGGUCAAUUUUGAUCAAAAUUCAGUCAAAUUCGGCUGAAAUUCGGUCAAAAUUCAAAUUGUUUGACCGGUCCACUUAACUGGACCGGUCCGAAAUUUUCAAUUUUUCUGAAUUUCGCCCAAUUCGGUGGGUUUCAAAUUUUUUCACAUUUUGAAUCCUAGAACCUUGAUUGAGAAUACUGUAAAACUUGGGCUGUGGGCGGUUGUAAAGUCCAGAUAUUUAUCCAUUUUGUUUAGACAAAUUGAUUCCCUUUCGGACCAACCUCCGAAGGUGUAUCCCAAGACAUCUGAGCCCCAAGCCUUCACACUUCAACGACAUGUUGUCGCUGUUGAAAUAGUUGCUACCGAACGUGCUCCCUUAUUGCGUCCGUAUAGCCCCAUGGAACCUUAAAGUGAUGGUGAUGUUAUUACGAGUCUUCUCCAGGGACUAGGAAAGCCUCGUUUUAGAUGUGAAUCUUAGCCCGCUUGUUGUAUCAUUCACCCACUCUGACUCUGACUCGACUCGUCUGGAUCGUCAUCGUCCUGUCGCGAAGAUGUUCCCCCUCGUCACUCAGAGGUGUCCGGUGCUGAUUCGAGCUGCGGAGGCGAUGAUGCUAAUCUGAAAAGAAGCAACUAAUUUGUGAAGACUUGGCUGUUCUUGCCGCUCCUCUCAAUGUAAAGGUGGGGAAGAAACUUAUUGGGGGACUAACUGAUUGAUUGUAUACAGCUUCAAAGCACUGGCCAUGAAAGUGGUUUUCUUUCUGAAGCCGGCAAAUAUUCAUUUUGCUUUCUGGUCAUGGAAGAAAAAACUUUGCAGCUUGAUAUGUGGCUGUUCGAUGCGCUUUGCGCUAGCUUCUGAGGGAGACCGCGGAUAAACGUGUGUACCUUAAAAGCUCAAAUGGUACCUCUGGGAAAUUGGAGAAGAUGGAACUUGAACUUGAGAAGAACAGAAACUGAUCCGGUCAAAGAGAAACAAAUAGCUAUGGAUCAAGUCAAUGUACUUGCUAAAGAUGUCAAAGGCCUUCAGGUUGAGCUUGAGAGGUGUUGCAAAAACAGACCAAAGAGCUGAAACAAUCGCUUGAUGAGCAAAACCUGAGCUAUGAAUAGCUUAAAAAGAAAUGUGAGAGACAUCAAGAUGCGCACACAGACGGGGAGCGGAAGCAGUGAGACAUGACAUGAUUAAUGGCCUUGUACCCUUCGGCUUGACUGCCCUUGUUCUGGAUAUUGACAGCAGUUCUGUCAGGGAUUUCUACGACUGGCUUCAUAAUUGCAUUGAAGUUCUGGGUAAAGCAAGCCGUGUGUUCUGCGAACUUUGCGCAGGCGUUGGCAUUCGCUCACUCGCUCACUCAGUCCGCUUGCUCUUCUCCUCAUCAGCCCGGUGGGAGAAAAGCAUAAGCAAACUUCCUUGUUUAAUCAGCCGAGUUAAUCUCAAGAUAAAUCCCAAAUCUGCAGUUUCCAUUGGUCCGACCCCUGAUAACCCAGCAAAAUCGCACCAACCCAGCAAAAACGGCAGCUCUUCUCUAAGUCCCGAAACUAGUGUUCCUCCAAAUCUUAGAGCUGUGGGAGAGCCAGAGACUGAAUGGUGGACCCCAAGACCAGAUCCCACGGAUCUCUCGAGUCAAACGCGCCAGAACCCGUGUGCGCCCCGAGCCUCUCCGCCGUGUGGCUCAACCUCCCUGACGAGCGCCGCCUCGCCCAGUCGCCGACCGCGACAAGAUAGAUCACCGCGCCUCCUUCCCAAUCACGCGCGAUAGCCCCUGCAGCCCUUUCCGUCUCGCCUCGUCUCGCUCGCACCCUCGCCGGCCGCGCCAAGGCGCCCUGUCGCCGCUGCGACAGAGGAUUUGCCGCUGCCGCACCAGACCGCCUCGCAUCCUGCACCCAUCACCUCGCCCGGAUCCCCGACCGCGCGCCCCGAUGCCUUCCGGCUUUUCCGUCUCCCCACCACAGUUGCGCUGCCCAUGUGCGCGCUCCACGACAAUACCGCCCUCGCCAACCCCGGCUCCGGCGGAGACAGCUCCUUUUCCGCCUCGCCGGUAACGUGCCCCAGCAAAGCCGCUGAUCUACGCUCGCUAGCGUCACCGCACGCCCUGUCACCUCGCCUGCAGCGACCUCGCCUGCAGUGCCUUUCUUUCCUUCCUGUCACACGCUAGUCGAGUCGCCGCACCCAAGCCGCCACUUGACGCGACCAGACCUGUUCUUGCCCUCGCCAACUCUUCAUCCCAGCAAAACCGCGCUUGCACCAGCUUUGUCACCAGUGCCCAAUGACCAAAGACCCUGUCCCCGAAGCUCCGCUUCGUCGACCAAUGCAGGCGUCACCCAAUCGCCGCCACGGCAGAGCACUCAAUCCUUUUCGACUUGAUCUUCACGCUGCUCGAACUCUCUCUCUCUCUUCCUCGCAGCUAUAAAAGGGAGUACCAAAGCCCCUAUCGGAGUUUCCUUCGCCAUCGCUGUCUCGCCAUACCUUACUCUGCUCGCACUUGAGCGUUGCCGCUUAAGCUCUUAAGGAACUUCCCCUCUCCGCUCAAACCGCUUUUCCCAACCCACCAGCCGCCUGUUUUCCUCUGCACGGUGCUAGAGCUUGCUUGUCGUCCACGAGAAGCACCGCUGCCGCCGGAGCACCGUCGAACCUCGCCGCCACCCAAGCCUUAGCGCCUUAGUCCUUCCGCCUAAGUCUGUUCCUUCCCGACCCCAAGACUUCACCAGUAGGCUUAAAGGUAAGCUGUUCACCCCUUCCCGAUUUGCCCAACCCCUUUUUCCACCUAGCCCAACCCUGUCUGUUUCGCCGACCCUUUUCCGCUUCGUCCAAGGGCUUGGCUGUAUCUUUUUCUUUGACUCGAGGGUAUCUAUGUAAAAUUUCGGGAACUUCUCUGUGUUACAUCUAAGAACCCCGGUACAGUUAUUCCUUAGGUCUGAGGGUCAGCUUAUAAGUUUAUUCCUUCGUAUGUAUGUGAAUUUACGUUAUAGGAGUUGUUUGAAAGCAUAGAUGCAUGACCUAGUUCCCUUGAUCUGAACACUAGUUUGAUAAGUCCGAGUAGUUGCAAUGCUUAAUAGGACUCGGUAAAAGUCGAGUGAUUUCCUGUCACGCGCGAGUUAUAGGAAUUGGUUGUUUUCCUUCUGGUUACGACUAUAAGGAUGAUGGACGGGGCAGGGACUGGUGAACUCUUUUGGUGGUCGGUGGAUCACCCCAUCUGUCUACUCGAAUCUGUUUAAGGUCCGACAGUGGUGGUGUUCGUGAUCAAGUAUUUGAACGUACUAAUCUCAUACCCAGUAUGGGAUGGGGAAGCCUAGUACCUGAUUGAACCUGGACGUGAGCGGUUCGAUCCACUGUCUCUGGAACAGAGUUUUCCCUGCAGCCGCAUGUGGUGGCAAGUGUGGUCGCAGAACGACAGGGGCCGGGUCUGCGGAACAUGGCACCAAGGGAAGUGGGCCCGACACGGGUCAGGGGAUUGAUUGGGACGGCCGACACAGGAUGCGACCCUCGGUGGUGCGCGGAUGUCGUGAGAUUAGGUUCGCCAUGUAUGGUUAAGGAACCCGAAUCAAUUCGUCUGUCUCUCACAGUUUGAGACUGUUUGAUCGCUAUGCUACACUGAGUAAAGAUGGAACAGGAUGAUGAGAUGAACUUGAUGUUUGAGUUAUAUACACAUACUGUUUGGAACUGUGUUUGCUUAGCAUAAGUUGCAAAAAUAGGCUGGUUGAUGAACUUAGAACCGGAGCUGAAAUAUUGAAAGUAAGGACCUACUAUAGUUGCUUUUGGCAAACAAAUCCCUCAGCCAAAGAGCCUUGCAUGUCUAGAAGUGGUGGAGUAGUUUUCCCACCGGUCGGUUAAGUCUUGUUGAACUUAGAAGCUCAGCCUUGUUGUGGCAUCUCUUUUCAGGUGCAGUUGAAGCUUCUGAGUGUGCUACUGUUGGCACUUGGCCGCCCAAGCUUCCUCCUGGGUGGACGGUUGAGUGGGAUCCUUCCUCGGACGGUGAGGAGAGGGAUCACUGAUGUCCUGAUCGGCCUCAUCAGGGACAUCGCCCCCCGGCGCUAGCUUCCGCUAUUUUAUCUAUCCGCUGCUUUUGAAUCUUGUAAAACUCUGACUUUUCGAACCAGUGUGUAUUAAAUCGUUGAACUAAUUAUUUGAUCUGUUGUAUUCUCUGGAACCACUCACCUUCGUGUGAGCUAUGCUAUUUCGGUCCUAUCAAAGUGGUUUUAUCGGAUGAAAUCCAACAGAUCAUCGAAUUAACUUGGUUAAGGCAUGUGAUUCGCGUGUUAAGCGACUUAACCGUGCUUUAGCUAAGUUAAUCCGAGGAGCUCCGCCACAGCUGGUACUAGAGCAGGUUUGGCGGGACAGAGAACACAAUAGGUCCUAAACACUUUAUUUUUAAAUAAAAUUUGCAAGAAAUGUGUUGAAAAAUCUCGUACGAUCGUUAAGGAUGACCUUAGUACGAGAGGCCCUAGGGAAUUUUGGGAUUAUUUUUAGGUGGCUAUUACUUAUUGGUUAUUUUGCUAACCUCCAGCACUUCGCCACGUGUAUCAUACGUGUGCCAAGUUCCGCAUCGCGAGUGUGCGAGGGUUGAUAGGGAGUUCUAUUCAAAGGAUCCUAUCAUCGCGGUUGUUUCGCUCACGUUUAUCAUACGUGCGCCGGCUCCGCAUGUUAACUCAUGUGAAGGAUGGUAUGGCUUGAUUCCAACAAGCCUAUCAUCACGGUUGUUCGCCCACGUCUGUUAUACGUGCGCAGAUUCUGCAUCGCGAGUAUGCGAAGGGUCAUAUGCUUCUAUUCAAAGGGGGCCUAUUUCCAUGGUUGUUGUGCUGUCCAUGCAGCGUUAAACGCAUGGGUACCAUUUCUAUAGUGAACGGUAAUGCUUGGGGACGCUUUCGUGAGUGCUGGCACGAAAGGUCCAUGUGGUUGUUUUUCUGCAGGUACACUAACCGCGUUCGCUUAGGGAACGAUGCUAGAAACCGACUAGCUACUAUAGGGAGCGACGUACUUGUUGCCUUGCCACCAGCACUAACAGUGUAAGACCAAUGCUUUUGGCAGUUAUUUUUGGUUGAGAGGACAAUGUAGGUCGUGCAUGCGUCAUGAACAAAAAUCUAUAAAACUACCUCCCUAAAAUAACCUUGCCCUGGUUUAAGGCUCUUCUUCGCUUUAAGGAUUUCUAGCUACCUUCUCAGUUUGCGAUAGGGUUAGAAAUCCGAGUGUUUUUCCUGCCCGAUCUGUUCUCCUUGGGGUUUCUAUCUCACGCUUGUUUUAGUUCUUGGUUCCAAAUGGCUGCUUCCAGACAUGUGUUUCGCGGCGCUGAUGGCACUUCCCACUCCACAUGCCUACACUUCGAGGGCUUUCCUGCUAUUUUGUGGGAUACCUUGAGGUGGCUUGGGAACCAGUCACCGCCUCUUUACGCGGUACGGGAGUACCAGGAGCAUGGAGUGCAGCGGUGCAACGUGCAAGUGGUUGUACUCCACCCCCUGUAAAGCCCUAGUGGCCCCAGCUCGAGGUCUCGACCUACGGUCACACCCUUGAGGACACCUAGGAGUCAGCUGCCCUGCAGGCUCUCACCCAGUUUUGCUGGCUACACCCGCUUGAGGUCCUUUUGGACCCGAUCGGUUUGUUUCCUGCCAAGGAUCGGCUGGACCCGGCUUGGCUUGACCGCGUCAACAGCAUGGAGGUGUUGGCAGCCUCACACUCGUUGGUCACCCUCUCUACCACGACAAGGUGGAUGUCAGCUUUGUACCGACUAAUUGAGCUUCAAGGAUGGGUUAUGGCUGUCUUGGCUCGGAUAACUGUAGACACCCAGGAGCAUUUCAACACCGCCAAGAGAGACUUGGUGGAACAGUUGUAUCAGCUUAUCCAAAAGAGCAUACAGGUCUCCGACAUGCAGAUUAGAAUUUCCGAGCUCGAAGAAGAAGUGACGGACAUGGAGCAUGACAUGACUCAGCUUGCUGAAGAGAAGUUGGAGCUCGCGGUUGCUAAUGUACACUUGGACGAGCACCACUCUGAGCUCGAUGCCAUCCAUGCUUUGGAAAUGCAGCUGGAUGAGCAAAUGGCCUCGGAGGAGGAGGAAGACCCUGAGGAGGUAGUAGGAGUCUCUAGUAUGGACAUUGAAGAUGGCGACGCCCUUUCUCCGAUGCAUAGUGUUCCCUCAGUAGGCAACCUAGAUGACUUUUAGGUUGAAGGCUGUAGGUAGCUAAUCUUUUGUUGUACUCCUCGGCAACCUAAAUUUUGGGGUAGCGAUGUAAUAGGUUAGCCUUGAGUUGAGUACUCCUUUGGUGUUAAGGGACCAGCGAUGUAAUGGUCUUGGUAAAAUCAGUUCCUUUUUGGGACACGCCUUGGAUGCCAAAGCUGUGUGAGUUUUUGUGCUGUGACCGCACAUAGGUUUCCGUUCCUUUGGGUCUGUCCAAAGUGUGGCCGACCCAGGGUCACGAGUUCGGAUGUGCCCGACCCCUCGCGGCAGGACUCCGCCUCGCACGACCCCUUGUUGCACGGUUCCACUUCGCCCGACCCUAGUACUUAAGGUCGGACAUAGUGGGACCCACCGGCUAAGGUUUUGACUCGCCCGAGGUUGUGUGCAGACCAGCCGAUGAGAACACGGAUCUUGUGGACCCUACUGAACGUGGAUCAAAACACCUUUCCGUUCAGUUAGCAAAAGUUAAACGACCAUGUAGAAACAAGCUAGUUGCUAACUAAGAUGGCAAAGAGAGAUAUGCACCUCCUUAAUAAAAGAUAUGUUGUUGUGUUGCACUAUCGACAAGAGUCGCAUUUAAGGAUUCAGCACAUAAGUUCCCGCAUGAUUGGAAUACUUUUGGAAUUAUGUAACUAAUGGAACGCUGACUCUUGCAGAUGGUGCACCGCACCCGUUCCAGCUCUAUGCCCAGUGGUAGUGAGCAGAGGCAGGACCUUGCCCAGCCUCCGCCCCCACCUUCGCUGGAAGCCAUCUUGGCGGCUCAAACUGAGCUGCUGAGGCACAUUGCCCAAGGGCAACAGCAGCAGCCCCAUGGAGGGAGGGCUCAUCAGCAACCUCAAGUUGCUCGCUAUGAAGACUUUCUGGGCAUGCAGCCCCCAACCUUCCACAAGACAGAGGACCCUCUCGACGCCGACGCAUGGGUUCGCACGAUCAAAUCAAAAUUCGAACUCCUCACCGCCCCGUGCCUUGACAAGAACAAGGCCCGGUUCGCAGCUCAGCAACUGCGUGGUUCCGCCCGGCUUUGGUGGGAGCACUACCACUCCAUGUUGUCGGCCGACCAUGUGGUCAGCUGGAGUGAGUUUAAGACCGCCUUCAGAGGGCACCAUAUUCCAGAAGGCCUCCUAGAGUGUAAACUCAACGAGUUCCUAGCUCUUACCCAGGGAAGCCGCGAUGUUCUGCACUACGCGCAACCCUUCAACGACCUGUGCCGCUACGCCGGCUAUCACGCGGAUACCGACGAGAAGAAGAGGGAUAGGUUCUGCAGAGGUUUAAGCCUGGAGCUCAAGGAGAGGUUAAACCCUAUCAAGGUGGAUACCUGUAAUGAGCUGGUGAAUCUAGCCAUCUCUCAAGAGGACUGUAUGCAGGCCCUCAAGGCCGACCAGAAGCGGAAGGCCUCAAUGGCAUUGCCGAGCCCGCCCGCUCGGAGAUUUAGAAUGGUUCCUCCUCAGGUGCCCCAUAGGCCACAGCAGUUGGGACGAUGGGUUGCUCGCCCUCCACCCCCAGCAGCAUCUCGUUUCCCCGGUUUCCACCCGCAGGUGCCUCGGCCGACCUUAUCGCCGCCGUCGCGCCCUGUGAAUGGUAACCACUGCUUCACCUACGGCAAUGAAGGGCAUUUUGCCAAGGACUACCCCAGAAACAAAAAUCAGCGGCCCGGUCAAAACCCCACAUCCACUAGGGGAAGAAAGCCCAAGGUGCAGGUUCGCCAGGGUCGGCUCAACUACACAAGCCUGACCAAGCUCCCCAAAGGUGCGCAGGUGAUGAUGGGUACCUUCGUUGUCCAUAAUCAAACUGUUAUUGUUUUGUUUGAUUCGGGAGCAUCCCAUAGCUUCAUCAGGAAUAAGACUAGUGAGAGAUGUAAGCUGAGCGUUGGUCACACAAAAGGGUCAUAUAUGAUCUCCACCCCGGGAGGAAAAAUAGUUUCGGACAAGAUAGUUAACCUGGUGCCUAUCAAGUUAUGCCAGAUUAUUUUUUGGGAAAAUCUCAUCAUCCUUGAUCUAGAAGGAAUAGAUAUCAUCUUGGGGAUGGAUUGGAUGACCCGACAUUAGGUGGUUCUGGACAUAUCUUCCCGAGCUAUACACAUAAACUCACCUCUGCAUGGCAACUCUACCCUACACUUGACCCACCCUGAGUACGCAAAUCCUUGUGCGUAUCCUGUAACAGAAGCCCGGAUAGAAGACCUUCCUGUUGUCCGUGAGUACCCCGAUGUGUUUCUGGAUGACUUGCCCGGCAUGCCGCCAGAUAGAGAUAUCGAGUUUGCCAUUAAACUACAGCCAGGCACCGCCCCAAUAUCCAAAAGACUCUAUCGGAUGCCACCCGCUGAGCUGGCCGAGUUGAAAACCCAAUUGAAUGACUUGUUGGAGAAAGGCUUUAUCCGACCCAGCACUUCACCCUGGGGUUGCCUAGCCCUAUUUGUGAAGAAGAAGGAUGAAAGUCUACGCAUGUGUGUGGACUACCGACCCCUCAAUGCGGUGACUAUCAAGAACAAGUAUCCUCUUCCCCGUAUUGAUGUUCUGUUUGACCAGUUAGCUGGAGCUAGAGUGUUCUCCAAAAUUAAUCUUUGUUCCGGCUAUCACCAAAUCAAGAUCAGACCCUGUGACAUUCCCAAAACUGCUUUCUCCACAAGAUAUGGACUCUACGAGUACCUGGUUAUGUCCUUCGGACUCACCAAUGCACCCGCUUAUUUCAUGUAUCUCAUGAAUUCGGUGUUCAUGCCCGAGCUGGACAAGUUUGUAGUGGUGUUCAUUGAUGAUAUUCUGGUGUACUCAAAGAACGAAGAAGAACAUGCCAAGCAUCUUCAUGUGGUUCUUCAACGUUUAAGGGAUCAUCAGCUUUAUGCCAAGUUCUCCAAGUGUGAAUUCUGGUUGGAGAGUGUCAAGUUCUUGGGACACACAAUCUCUCGGAACGGCAUAGCAGUGGACCCUAGUAAGGUACAGGAGGUCAUGGAUUGGAAGCCACCCACUUCGGUUCAGCAGAUCCGCAGUUUUCUUGGACUAGCAGGCUACUAUCGGCGUUUCAUUCCGGAUUUCUCAAAGAUAGCUAAGCCGAUGACUGAGCUACUGAAGAAGGAAGUCAAGUUUGUGUGGAGCCACAAGUGCGAAGAAGCUUUCCACACCUUGAAACGCCUGCUGACUUUUGCCCCAGUUUUAGCUCAACCCGACCCUUCCAGGGCAUUUGACGUGUACUGUGAUGCCUCUAGCACUGGACUUGGGUGUGUUCGAUGCAAGACAACCGAGUCAUUGCCUAUGCCUCACGGGCGUUGCGACCUCAUGAGAUGAACUAUCCAACCCAUGAUCUUGAGUUGGCAGCAGUGAUUCAUGCCUUAAAGAUAUGGAGACACUAUCUGAUGGGCACCCACUACAACAUCUACACCGAUCACAAGAGCCUCAAGUACAUCUUCACUCAAGCCGACCUCAACAUGCGCCAAAGAAGAUGGUUGGAGUUGAUCAAGGAUUAUGAUUUGGAAGUACAUUAUCACCCUACCAAAGCCAACAUAGUAGCAGACACUCUCAGCUACAAGACCCACUGCAAUUGCUUGUCGAUGAUCAACUUCACAGAAACUCUGUGCCAUGAGAUGGGAAAACUUAGUUUGGAAAUUAUUUCCCAUGGAACCCACGGCCAUAUUUCCCUUGAGUCUGCUUUGGAGGACCAAAUUGGGUCGGCACAGUUAGAGGAUGAGGAAUUAAGGCAAAUUAAAAGGAAGAUUUCAUGGAAGGAUGAAAGGUACAAGCAUUUCCGACAGGAUGAGAAUGGGAGAGUGUACUAUGGAAACCGACUUGUUGUCCCAUCCGACCCCACUCUUAAGAAGCAACUCCUAGAUGAAGCCCGUCUCUCCAAAUUCUCAAUCCAUCCUGGCAGCAAUAAAAUGUAUCAUGACCUCCGUCAAACUUUUUGGUGGAGUGGAAUGAAGCCAGAAAUUGCACGCUAUGUCUCGAACUGUGACACCUGCCAAUGUGUCAAGGCCAGCCAUUUGAAGGUAGCAGGUACCCUGCAACUGCUACCUAUCCCAUCCUAGAAAUGGGAAGACAUCAGUAUGGAUUUCAUUGUUAGACUGCACCCUACAUCUCAGCGACAUGAUUCCAUUUGGGUUAUCGUGGACCACCUCACCAAGUCUACCCACUUUCUUCCUAUUCACACUACCUACCCGGCCAAGAAAUAUGCAGAGCUGUAUCUUGACCGCAUUGUUUCUCUGCACGGUGUGCCUAGGACGAUCAUAUCUGAUCGAGGUGUUCAGUUUGUAGCACAUUUUUGGGAACAGCUACAAGCAUCACUUGGCACCAAGCUCAUUCGUAGCUCAACCCAUCACCCUCAAACCGAUGGUCAGACCGAGAGGGUAAACCAAAUCCUUGAAGACAUGUGGGAUAAGUGCUUACCGUUGGUAGAGUUCUCCUACAAAAACAGCUACCAGUCUAGCUUGAAGAUGGCACCGUUUGAAGCCUUAUAUGGUCGGAGGUGUCGGACACCAUUGAGUUGGUCACAAGUUGGAGAGAGACAAACCUACGGUCCUGAUCUAGUAGUAGAAGCCAAAGCACAAGUUAAGGUGAUUCAGGCAAAUCUCAAGGCAGCCCAAUCUCGACAAAAGAGUUACUCCGACAAGAGAAGGAGACCCCUGCAGUUUAACCUUGAUGAUCACGUAUAUCUUCGAGUCUCCCCGACCAAAGGAGUGCAACGAUUUGGAGAAAAGGGAAAUUGGCUCCACGUUACAUUGGCCCUUAUGAAAUUGUGGAACUUUGUGGACCCGUUGCUUACCGGAUCCAACUACUAGAACAGCUUUCGACCAUCCAUGAUGUUUUCCAUGUCUCCUAGCUAAAGAAAUGUGUCCAAGUCCCAACUGAGGUUUUGGAACAGGAGCAACCUCAAAUCGGGCCCGACUUGACCUACGCCGAGUACCUGGCCAAAGUCCUCGACCAUAAGGAGAGACAUACCCGACGGCAAGUUGUGAAAAUGUACAAGAUACUAUGGAGCAACCACACGGAGGAGGAAGCAACCUGGGAAACAGAGGAGUAUCUGAACAAGCACUUCUGAGGUUUUAUUUUCAGCCAAGAAGGUAAGAACCACACACCCCCACCCGUCGCCCUUACACCCAAAUCUCAGGACGAGAUUCUUUUUAAGAGGGGUAGGCUGUAACGACCUUGGUUUAAUCAACCGAGUUAAUCUCAAGACAAAUCCCAAAUCUGCAGUUUCCAUCGGCCCGACCCCUAAAAACCCAGCAAAAUCGCACCAACCCAGCAAAUGACAGCUCUUCUCUAAGUCCCGAAACCAGUGUUCCUCCAAAUCUUAGAGCUGUGGGAGAGCCAGAGACUGAAUGGUGGACCCCAAGACUAGAUCCCACGGAUCUCUCGAGUCAGACGCGCUAGAGCCUGCGUGCGUCCCGCUUCAGAGCCUCUCCGCCGCGUGGCUCAACCUCCCUGAUGAGCGCCGCCUCAUCCAGUCGCCGGCCGCGACACGAUAGAUCAGCACGCCUCCUUCCCAAUCGCGCACGAUAGCCCCUGCAGCCCUUUCCACCUCGCCUCGUCUCGCUCGCACCCUCGCCGGCCGCGCCAAGGAGCCCUAUCGCCGUCGCGACAAAGGAUUUGCCGCUGCCGCACCUAACCGCCUCGCAUCCCGCACCCAUCACCUCGCCUGGAUCCCCGGUCGCGCGCCCCGAUGCCUUCCAGCAUUUCCGUCUCCCCUCCAUAGUUGCGCUGCCCAAGCGCGCGCUCCACGACGAUACCGCCCUCGCCAACCCCGGCUCCGGCAGUAACGUGCCCCGGCAAAGCCGCUAAUCUGCGCUCGCUAGUGUCGCCGCUCGCCCUGUCACCUCGCCUGCAGUUCCUUUCUUUCCUUCCUGUCACACGCUAGUCGAGUUGCCGCACCCAAUCCGCCACUUGACGUGACAAGACCUGUGCUCACCCUCUCCAACUCUUCAUCCUGGCAAAACCGCGCCUGCACCGGCUUUGUCUCUAGUGCCCAAUGACCAAAGACCCUGUCCCAAGAAGCACCGCUUGCUUGUUGUCCACAAGAAGCACCGCCGCCGCCGGAGCAUCGUCGAACCUCGCCACCGCCCAAGCCUUAGCGCCUCAGUCGUUCCGCCUAAGUCUGUUUCUUCCCGACCCAAGACUUCACCAGUAGUAUUAAAGGUAAGCUGCUGACCCCUUCCCAGUUCGCCCGACCCCUUUUUCUGCCUCGCCCGACCCUCUCUGUUUCGCCGACCCUUGUCCGCUUCGCCUGAGGGCUCGGCUGUAUCUUUUUCUUUGACCCGAGGGUAUCUAUGUAAAAUUUUGGUGCUUCUCUUUGUUAAGUCUGAGAACCCCGGUACAGUUAUUCCUUAGGUCUGAGGGUCAGCUUAUAAGUUUAUUCCUUCGUAUGUAUGUGAAUUUACGUUAUAGGAGUUGUUUGAAACCAUAGAUGCAUGACCUAGUUGUCUUGAUCUGAACACUAGUCUGAUAAGUCUGAGUAGUUGCAAUGCUUAAUAGGACUCGGUAAAAGUCGAGUGAUUUCCUAUCACGCGCGAGUUAUAGGAAUUGGUUGUUUUCCUUCUGGUUACGACUAUAAGGACGAUGGACGGGGCAGGGCCUGGUGAACUCUUUUGGUGGUCGGUGGAUCACCCCAUCUGUCUACUCGAAUCUGUUUAAGGUCCAACAGGGGAUUGAUGGGGAUGGCCAACACAGGAAGCGACCCUCGGUGGUGCGCAGAUGUCGUCAGAUUAGGUUCGCCAUGCAUGGUUAAGGAACCCAAAUCGAUUCAUCUGCCUCUCACAGUUUGAGACUGCUUGAUCUCUAUGCUACACUGAGUAAAGAUGGAACAGGAUGAUGAUAUGAACUUGAUGUUUGAGUUAUAUACACAUACUGUUUGGAACUGUGUUUGCUUAGCAUAAGUUGCAAAAAUAGGCUGGUUGAUGAACUUAGAACCAGAGCUGAAAUAUUGAAAGUAAGGACCUACUGUAGUUGCUUUUGGCAAACAAACCCCUCAGCCAAAGAGCCUUGCAUGUAGUGGUGGAGUAGUUUUCCCACUAGUCGGUUAAGUCUUGUUGAGCUUAGAAGCUCAGCCUUGUUAUGGCAUCUCUUUUCAGGUGAAGUUGAAGCUUCUGAGUGUGCUGCUGUUGGCACUUGGCCACCCCAGCUUCCUCCUGGGUGGACGGUUGAGUGGGAUCCUUCCUCGGACGGCGAGGAGAGGGAUCACUGAUGUCCUGAUCGGCCUCAUCAGGGACAUCCGACCCCGGCGCUAGCUUCCGCUAUUUUAUCUAUCCGCUGCUUUUGAAUCUUGUAAAACUCUGAUUUUUCAAACCAGUGUAUAUUAAAUUGUUGAACUAAUUAUUUGAUUUGUUGUAUUCUCUGGAACCACUCACCUUCGCGUGAGCUAUGCUAACUCGUUCCUAUCAAAGUGGUUUUAUCGGAUGAAAUCCGACAGAUCGUUGAUUUAACUUGGUUAAGGCAUGUGAUUCGCGUGUUAAGCAACUUAACCGUGCUUUAGCUAAGUUAAUCCGAGGAGCUCUGCCAUACCUCGUCUUCGUAACCCUUCUUUUUUCAUGGCCGUCAGAUGCAGAGCUGAAUCCCUGACUUCCUGCCUACCGCCAGAGACAAAUAUAUACAGUUUUCAAUCAAGAAAGUUUACUGAGGGCUUGUUUGGUAGGCUUCGGUUGUGGCUAAAACAGCAGUGGCUGUGGCUUCUCCAAUAGACCAAUUUUUUUAGCUUCGGGUUAUCUGGUUAGAAAAACUUUUAGUAAAACAGCUUCUACCAGAUGUGUAACUUAGAUAGAAAGGUGAAAUGUCUAUAAUAUCCUUUCUCUUCUUCGUUUUCUUUUUCCUUCCUAUUUUUUCCCUUCUCUCUUUUUUCUAUCCACUCACCGGUGCGCGGUCUCUCCUUUUCUUAUCCACUCACCGGUGCCCAGCCAAAUCCUUAUCUUCUUGCAACCAGAGGGGAACCCGCCACGGUCAGCUAGCUAGCUCCACUCCAUGGAUCAAUCGGUUCAAGAAAGCAAUCAAAUGCAUAGCCACCGGCGAGUGUAGUCCACAAAGGAUGGAGCCGUGAGUCUCCAAGACUCAAGAGCCCCAUUGAUGCUGCCGCACGCCACGAUGCCGUCACUGUGGCCACACCAUUGGAGACAGAGAGAACAGCUUGCUCCCGCUCAGGCGCACGGUGUGAGCUGAAGAGUUUGGUGCGCCUGUGCUGCCCGCUCUCCAGCUCCGCCACGCCAUCCCUCCCUACACCGCCCCUCUCCACCAUGCCUCCCAGCGCCCCCUCUUCACCGCGCCUUACCGGCCGUCGCCGCCUCUCCACACGGCACCGCCUCUUCACCGCGCCUCCCCUCUCAUCCCCCCUCCCCUCCCCUCCCCCCCGCGCGCGCCUCCCCACGUUGCACGGUGGGCAAAAGGGUCAGAUGGCCCCACGUUCGAGGCUGAUGCUGCGGGGAGCUAGUUUUUUCGGCUCCCCCUCCCUCGAAAGGCUCCAGAGAGCGAAUUUCAGGGAGCUUCUUCCACAAAGCCAUUUUGCAAAUGGCCCUUUGGUAGGGCUUCGCUAGAAGUCGAUGUUGAAGUCCUGCUAAACAAACCCUGAUUUGAUUUUUAAGAGCAUUACAUCGAGCCGGACAAUCUCUUAAAAACACUCCAGAUCACUGCAUAGUGGGACGCUGGGUCAUCCCAUGCGGGCCGUCCAAAUUAUACUAUACACUUAGGUAUAACUAUGUGGACUAUUUUUGUCGUUGUUUUGAAGCUCAGCACGCACCACCGUUGGUCGAAUUGCCUUCCGAUCGACGGAUGGUUUGUCUCCUAAUUUUCUUUGAGUAUGUCCCGUGCAGUCAAGUCUGUUGAUCCCUUUUUUGUCGCCCUCAUGAGACGUCGCGCCGCUCUCGCCGAGACGCAGCCAGACGUGCGUCAAUCGCCGGCCGCCGUCUUCGCGAAUUCGUGCAAAAGCUCAAGGCCACACGCUUACACCUACGUGCGUGCACUACCGGGUAAAGGAGGACACGCUCAGGCGUACAACGCAACACAGAGUGACGAUAUUUGUUCUUUUUUUAAAAAAAAAUCUUGUUUCAAUGAACAAUUACACUGCUGAUUAGAAGUGCAUAAAUUAAUUUUAUUCUUUUCAACGCUCCAAUUUAGGCCCCCGGCCCAUUUAGUUUCGUACAGGGCCUCGGAAUUUUUCUGGACGGCCCUGGGACGCACGCAUCCUACAAAAUAUAUAGUGAUCGAAACACGCUAAUUGCAAUUAACUAUAGAGUAGAUUGCCACUCGUGUGUUCAAAUAUAUAUACCACUAGAGUUUGCCAUCGAGGAGAUCCUCGGUGAGCUGCAGCAUGUUCGUCUCCGGGAGGUCAAAGAGUUGAGCCGGCACAGAGCCGCUGAACAUGGUCUUGCCAAGGCGGAUGCGCCUCAGCGUCUUGCACUGGGCGAGUGAGUCGGGAAUCGGACCAGACAGACAAUUCUCCAUCAGCACGACUACCUCCAGCAUCCCGCCCGCACAUAGAUCAGGCGGUAUAUGCCCUGUGAGGUGGUUGGUGGCCACGUCCAACAUCUUCAGUGGGCUGUUCUUGCCUAGUCCAGCCGGGAGGUUGCCUGUGAGGUUAUUCUCCCAAACUUGCAACACCUCCAGGUUCGGUAAGUUGGCCACGAACUCCGGUAUGUUGCCACGGAGGUGGUUGCGGAACAGGUGUAGAAGCGUGAGGCUGGUGAGGUUAGCGAGGCCGGCUGGUAUCUCGCCGGUGAGCUCAUUCAUGGAGAAGUCAAGCGACUCGAGAUUCCUGAGGCCACCGAGCUGCGUGGGUAUCUCCCCGGAGAGGCGGUUCAUCUGAAGGAAGAGCGUGUCGAGGUGUGCGAGCCGGCCGAGCUCUGGCGGGAUGGGGCCCAUGAGGUUACAGCUGCUCAUGUCCAGGCGGACGAGCGAGUCGAGCUCGCCGAGCUCCGGUGGGAUGCCGCCGUCGAACAGGUUGAAGUAGCCGAUGUACAUCUCCCGCAGCCGCUUGAGGCGCGCGAGCGACGCAGGUACCCGGCCGGACAGCGAGUUGCCGUUGAGUCCCAGGUACUCGAGCGCCGUGAGGUCGGCGUAGCUUUCCCAUAUGGCGCCAGAGAAGUAGUUCCCGCCAAGGUGGAGGUAACGGAGGCGCGUGUGCGCGGCGCCAAACGGCGGGAGCGGGCCGGAGAGGUUGUUGUUGUAGGCGUCGACGACCUCCAGAACCGGGAAGUAGGGCUCUCCUGCGCCGGCCGGCGCGGGGAACGGUCCGGUGAAGUUGUUGUUGGAGAGGUUGAGGUGGCGUAGCGCCGGCAGCUCGGCGAGUGACGCCGGGACGCUGCCUGCCAGGGAGCAGGCGGUGACGGUGAGGUUCUCGAGGGCGUCGAGCAGCGCCAUCUCGGGCGGAAGGACGCCCCCCUGCAGCGGUAUGCCUGUGAGGUUGAUCCCGACCACGCGGGCGGCCGCAUCGCAGGACACGCCCGAGAAGGAGCAGUGCGCGGGCGGCGCGGCGGCCGGGUCCCAGUCGGCGAGAGCGUUGGAGGUUGCUGGGACCAGCGCCACCUUGAGUUUGACCAACGCGUUCACGUGUCGAUCCGUCGAAGCGGAGGCGGAGGUGGAGCCAAGGACCGAGAGGAGGAGGAGAGGGACAAGGGGAGGCAUCAUUGUGGUGGCUGCGGCUGCUGCGUGGCGGCGACCGGCGGGGAGACGUGUGAAUAAAAGGGUAGUGGCGGUAGUGGAUGGAAUCAGCAUAUCGAAUCCCCAGGAUGGAGACGGGGAUUACAGCGCCCUGCUAAUCAAGCUCCGCUACAUGGAUUCUGAACAGCUGACAAUACAGUUAGGUAGUGUUUGGUUGAACUGGUUGGCUCAAAUGUAACAUAAUCUGAUUACUGAACUGGUUGGCUCAAAUGUAACGUAAUCUGAUUACUGAACGUAACGAAUCCUAUUACAUAUGUUUGGUUGCGGUGCUUUAUAAUCAAUUGACACUGUAAUCGAAUCCCUUACCUAAAUAAUAUUUAUACAAGCUUGUUACCCCUCCUCCUCUACCGUAAUCAGAUAUAGCACCGACACAGUAAUCUGAUUACGUUACCAGAGUGCAACCAAACAAAGAGGGCAAUCACCCAUUCCACCGCCAAAUAAACUGUAAUCUGAUUCCCUUUGCGUUUACAUUACCUUAGCACGAACGAAACACUAUCUUAGAUCGACGGAAAUUCCUAAACAUUUAGAGCGACGGAAGGGAUGAUAUGGACUCAACAGGUAGGGCCAAUGUGUCAGGUCCCUCUCUCUCAUAUUGCAUCCCCUUCUUCACUGUGGCACCAUGUCGCAUCCCCUCCGUCAUGCCACCAUCGGCAUCCCGUCCGCUCCUCCCGCGCGUGGCCGUUUAGUUUCCCUUCCACUGUUCUUCCUUGCUUUGCAGCUGCCUCCGUCACGUUGCGCACGCCGGCCAACUGCUAGGUGCUCUCUCACACUCGAUCAUCGAUCUAGUCAUGACUAGAGUCAUUUAUGGGAUUUUUAGUUAGAAAUGGCUUCAAGUCAAGGUAAGGAAGAAAGUAGAGGUGGGCUGCCCUUGUAAUUUUAUGAAAUAUGCACACUAACUGACCUUCCAUGCGCCUCCUUUUGUCCCGGUUUAAAGUUAGCCCGGGACAAAAGGGGGCACGCCAUGGUAGGUUGGAAUGGAGCGAAGCUUUACUCCCGGUUGGUAUUUGCAACCGGGACUAAAGGGUGGCCUUUAGUCCCGGUUGUAACGGCUAGAUUCCAGGCGUCGGUAGCGUGCCCCUUUUAUCCCGGUUGGAGCCUCAAACCGGGACAAAAGGACCACUCUUUUGUCCCGGUUGACCAACCGGGACAAAAAGUUUAGUUCCGGUUGGAAUUACCAACCCGGAGUAAAUUUCAACCGGGACAAAAGGGGUUCCUUUUGUCCCGGUUGGAGGUAUUAACUGGGAUAAAAACUCAUCCCCCAUUAUAUCCCAAGACAGAGGUCUUUCUUCCUUCUCCAGCCCGAGCCAGUCCACUCCACAAAGACAAAUAGUUUCACCUACUCUCCGGUGGCGCCGAAGCAAGCCUACGGGAGGUGUUGCCCGAAAUUUUUUUCCCUCAUUUCCGUGGAAAUUUGACUCAUCCAAAAUAUUGUGAAGGUUACCUACUUUAUCCUCUUGUUAUGCUUUGAUUUAUGCUUUACACAGGGAGAAAAAUGAGGUUGUUUGUUAGAAAGAGGGAGAGUGAAAAGGAUUUGUAUUUAUAUAUAUUUUUAACCUAGAAUGUGAUGGAUAGUUUGCUUGUUAUAUACGAUUUGUAUUAGUUAAAACAACUUGAUGUGUAGAAUGGAGAUGGAUAGUUUAUUUGCUAGAAUGUGAAGUAGAAAAUGGAGAGGAUUUUGAGCUAGAAUGUAAGGGAGAUUGGAGUGUACAUGUGAGGUAGAAUUGAGAGGAUUUCAAUAUUAAUUAUGAGGAUAAAAUUAGUAUGUCAUAUGUGUCAUAUAUAGUAUGUGUCCUUGCAGCGGUUUAAGAAUGAUGCUACCCUUAUCUAAACGGUUUAUCUUGUCAAAUUCAAUAUGGUUUUUCAAAUCUGUACUUGUUGAACUUGCAUGCCGUGUUCAUCUUGGUAAGCAUAUUCUCCACCGAGCGGCAACGGACGUUAAGGAGGAGCUUGGAUUCUAUGAGAAAGAGCGGCAACGGACAUUGUGGAAGAUCAUGUCCGCUUUCUCGUAGAAUCGGAGCUCUUCCAUUGCGAAGUACGGUGCCGCCCGGUGGAGAAAUGCUCGCCGAGAUGAUCAUGGUUUUCAAGUUCAACAAGUUCUACAGUGCUAAGGUAUGAAUUUUUGUACAUAGAGAUGGCUUCUACUGCUGGAGCUAGUGGCGAUGGUGGGGGCGAUCGUCGUUCCUCUCGCGGCAAGGGGAAAACAUAGUUCGCCCUCAUGAUAAGCUGAAGAAAAUGAGCAUGUGGGAUUAAACAAUGCUUCAUUUUUUGCAAAGACGUCAUGAAAAUGCUGUUACGACGGGUCAGGAACCUCCUUUUGGUGGUCCUUAUGCUCCACCGUCAGUCCCAGGUGUUUCACGUUCACUUAGUACUACCAUUGCAGGAGGCACAAAUAAACCACAGGAUGAGGCUGCGUCAGCGGAACCUUCAUCUUCGAUGCCCAAGGAUGCUUAAAGCCCUCCUAGAUAAUCCUCGGUGGAUGGCUUGUCGUAGUGUAUCAUGUUGUUUGGAUCUGAAAUUUAAAUAUGUGUAUUUCUAUCUAUAUCUAAACUUUCAGCAUUAUUUGCACUACAAAGUUUGACAUGGAAAUAGCAUGUAGAUAAGUUAUAAAGUGUAUAAAAAAAGGGAAAAAAAUUGUAAUCCAUUUCCAUGCGUAAUCCAUUUUCAUGCAUAAUACGAUGCAGAUGGACCGGCAAUGGAUGUAUAAUGCGGACAGAUGUAGCAAAGUGCUUAUUGAUGGCUUGCGUUAUUUUCUCGAAGUGGCCAAAGCGAACAAGCUAGAGAAUGGGUUCGUAUGUUGUCCAUGUUUCCAAUGCAGUAACAAAAAGGACUAUUCAAAGGAUUCCUGGGGGACUAUUCAUAGCCACUUGUUUAGAUACAGUUUCAUACAUAACUAUUUGGUUUGGACCAAGCAUGGUGAAAGAGGGGUUGUAAUGGAAGAUGGUGAAGAGGAGGAUGAUGAUAACAACAUUUCGGACUGAGCUGCAGGCCAAGCUUUUGAAAAUACUCCGAUGACCUUGGUCAGGUGCUACGGGAUGCACACAGAGAUUGCGAAACUGAGAAGGAAGCAGCAAAGUUGCAGCGCAUGAUAGAUGAUCACCAAAAAUUAUUGUACCCAAAUUGCCAACAGGGCCAUAAAAAAUUGGGUACCACACUAGAAUUUGUGGAAUGGAAGGCUAAAAAUGGUGUGUCUGAUAAGGCAUUUCAGGGGAUGUUGAAAAUUGUCAAGAAGAUUCUUCCCGAGAAUAAUAAAUUGUCGUCCACAACAUAUGAAGCUAAAUAGAUUAUUUGCCCUCUGGGAUUGGAGGUUCAGAACAUACACGCAUGCCCUAAUGAUUAUAUCCUCUAUCGUGGUGCUAAAUACAAGAAAAUGGAUGCUUCUCCCGUGUUCGAAGCACAGCGAUAUAAGAUCAGGCGAGAUGAUCCUAGUGAUGUCGAGGGCCAGCCUCUCAAGAAGGGAGUUCUUGCGAAGGUGAUGUGGUAUUUCCCUAUAAUACCACGCUUGAAGUGCUUGUUCAGGAACAAGGCGAAUGCUAAGUUGAUGUGAUGGUACAAAUAAGAACGUAAGGAAGAUGAGAUGCUGAGACACCCCCAGAUGGGGCCUAGUGGAGAUCAAUUGAUAGAGCAUUCCCGGACCGCCGCCUCCUCCGUCGCUCCAUCCCGCCGCCUCCUCCGUCGCUCCAUCCCGCCGCCUUCUCCGUCGCACCCCCUCAAGCUCGUCGCCGCCGCCUCCGUCGUGCCGCCUCAUCGCUGCCUCCGUCCUCGUCGCCACCUCCAUACUCGUCAUCACUGCCGGCCUCCGCCCUCAUCGCCGCCACCUCGCUCCGUCCCCGCCACCUCCUCCGUAGUGCCUCCUCGAGCUCGUCAUCGCCGCCUCCAUCGCGCCUCCUCGUCGCCACCUCCAUCCUCGUCGCUGCCUCUGUCGCUCCAUCCCCGCCUCCGCCGACGUCCGCCGCCCCGGCCUCCUCAUCCUGCAUAUUGCCAAUCCGCCACCCCCACCACCGCUGUUUCGCCGUCCCAGCCGCUGUACGACCUCCUGCCCCCGCCGGCCCUAGCUCCCGCACCUACGACGGGGACUUUGCUAACGCAAGCCACCGGGUUGCUGACACAAGGGCCCUUUUUUUUUUAGAAAAUCAAUAGAAAUUUGUAGAAAAUCAGUAGAUUAGUAAAAAAUCAAUAGGAAAUUACUAUUAUUAGUUGAAACUCAGUAGGAAAUUACUAUGAUUAGUAGGAAAUUAGUAUAAUUGAGUUCAGAUGCUUAGUAUAAUUUUGUAGACAUUUUGUAUUACUUUUAGGAAUUACUAUGUUUCAUUAUAAAUGAUUUGAAAAUUAGUAGAAAUUUGUAGGAAUGGUAAACACUUAUUUAGUAUAAAUGCUUAGUCUAAUUUUGUAUACAUUUAGUAUAAUUGGUAGAAAUUCUUACAAAUUACUAGAAAUUGGUAGAAAUUUAGUAGAAAUACUUAGAAAUUAGAAGAAAUUUGGUAAAAUUCUUAAAAUUAGUAGGAAUUAGUAGAAAUUUUCUAGAAAUUCCAAUAAAUUAGUAGAAAUUUGUAUAUACACUUCAAAUUUGGUAGAAAUUAGUAGAAAUUGGUAUAAACACUUCAAAAUUCGUUGGAUUCAUUCAAGACUAUCAUGUAUGAUUUCAUGUUAUUCUAUGAUUUCAUGUAUAUACCUUAACGUACAUGUAACUAUGAUUUCAUGUAAGUUUGAUUUCGUGUAUGGUUUCAUGUGUAUGUUUCAAUCAGUUUGUUUUUUUUCCAUGGUUGUUCUCUGAUUUCGUUUAUAUACCUUAACGUACAUGUAACCAUGAUUUCAUGCAAGUUUCAUUUCGUGUAUGGUUUCAUGUGUACUUUUCAAUUAGUUUGUUUUUUUUCCAUGGUUGUUCUAUGAUUUCAUGUAUAUACCUUAACGUACUUGUAACUACGAUUUCAUGUAUGUUUAAAGUAGUUGAGAUGGCAGACGACAAGACCGCAAGGUGUCUAAUAGAGCGAAUUAUUGCUGGUGAUGCUAAUGGCUCCAACCUUCCCAUAACGUACACCGAUGAUGAGGGUACCCAGGUGGACAUGUUCCUCAACAUGUCAGGCUGUGACAAUGAAGAGCCUGAGCCCCAGCAAAACCUUGCCAUGGCGGAAGGUUCUGGCAAUGGCAAUGAAGAGCUCGAGCCCCAGCAAAACCUUACCAUGGCAGAAGGUUUCGACGAGGUAUAUAUAAUUUCCAUUGUUUUACCCCAUCUAUAAUGUCUUAUUCGUUAUUACUAUGUACUAAUUAACAAAUCUUGAACUGUUAGCCCUCUGGAUCGACGAAACGUAAGAAGCCCCAAGGUCGUACAAGGGUGAUGGAUGGGAGGCUUGUCGUCACGGAAGUCACAACAGAGGGCAGGUCGAUUGCUCCUGAAAAAGUAGCAAAGAAGUAUGUGAGUCAAAUCGGGGCAAUCGUAAAGGACAACAUGCCUAUCAGCAUCAGGGAAUGGAAGGGCAAAACAACUAAUCCAUAUGCGCUCCCAAAUACACAAAAGAAUAUGCUGUGGGAAGAUAUCAAGAGACAUUUCACAUUUCCCGAAGGAUAUAUUAAAAAGGAUGUGAAAGCAUGGACACUGAAGAAGAUGGCCACACAAUUCUAGACAUUCAAGAAGAUGCUGGAUGCCAACUACUUUAAGAAGGGUCGAACUCCAGAUUUCAAUGUGUGGCCAAAGUUGAGGGACCACUGGGAGGCAUUUGUCGAAUACAAGAGGAGCGAAGACGGUGUGAAAAAGAUCCAGACCAACACUACAAAUGCUGGUCAAAAGGAGUACCAUCAUCGUCUAGGGCGAGGUGGUUAUGGCACAGCAGUUCCCACAUGGAAGAAGAUGGAACAAGACCUGAUUGAUCUGAGUAUCGUACCAGCAACUAUUGAAUAGCCUGAACGAUCAAAAAAUUGGUAUUACACUCAUGGAGGCUUCCUGAGCCAAGAGGAUGGGACGUUGAUAUUCAAUGAGACAAUACGUCAACAGGCCGAAAGGCUUAUCAAGAACAUUGAAGAUGCUAAUGGUGGGAGGUUGAAGGUGGACCGAUAGAAUAAUGAGCUCACAUUGAUCCUCGGGAAUCCUGAGCACCUAGGACGUUACUGAGGGUUCGGGGUCAUUUCGUGGAAGUUUGCUUUCCAAGGUGAGAGCGCAUCGUACAGAAGCCGCAAGCGAAGAAAGGAAUAGAUCAAGAAGAGAUGGCAGCACAUGCUAGAAUCCAAAGUGUAUUCACAAGAAGUAAGAAUGUUGGAGGAAAUCAAUCGUUGAGUUGUGAAGUUUGCUCAAUCUGGAGCAUUGCCGGAUCCAAACUUUGCCAGCCCUUCUCAACACCUCAUGAGCAGCUAUGCUUCUACAGAGCUCCCCGAUGUGCAGAUGCCAAGCUUACCCGUGGACGAGCAACGGUUCGCUGUGGAUGCCAUCAUGCAACGCACCUCAUGUGAGCUGCAUAUACAGGUCGGCAACCUCACUAUUAAGGUAUACUUAUACAUAAUAUUUAUGCAAUCUUCUCAGUUGAUCCAUGCCUCGGGAUCGCAGUUUAAUAACUGGUUUACUUCUACUAUAUGUACAGGUGGUGUACGAGAGUGCCUUACCAAUCCUAGUAGGGCAGACAAGCCAUGGCAUGGAGAUUCCACCUGGCAAUGCCAGCGCCUAGAGCAGAUCGCUGAUAGCUAAUAUGAAUAACCAGAGCUUGACCUCUCGGGAGGCGUCAGGAAAGGACACUAGGAGAUGCGCUUCAUGGGAUCAUUCUAUGGUGCAAACGCUACAUCAUUAUCCCCGGCACGGAAGCACCUCCUCAGAGCUCAAGACCGCUCCCCGCAAAUCCCCAGCAGCGACCAUCUCCUCAAAGCUCAAGACUUCCAUCUCCAGCACAACCUAUUCUAGGACCAUCGCUUUGUGCUCGAUCAAGGUCUCCAUCUCCACCACAUCCUGGUGGUGGGAGCGAUGAAGACAAUAACAACACCCCUCCCAGAUCACCGUCGCUGGGACUAAGAGCAGCCUCGAGGAAGGAACCUGCAGCACCACUUAAGAAGUCAUGACCAUCGCCUCCCAAGCCAAGAUAGAGAAAGAAGAGAAGAAAGGAGCCUAAAGUGACUCAUGAGGAACGCUGGGAGGCAAUGACUCAUGCGGAACAGUGGGCCGAAAUCCAAGCAGAGGCUAGGGAGUGGUUCAAGAAAAAGGCUGAAGAAAAAAAAGAAAGGGAGAAGGAGCCACUGGUAGUAAAUUGAAAAGAAUUAAAUUUUUUUAUCAAGAUGGAAGAAGGAGCCAAGAAGAGGAUAGCACUACUAUCGAACUACGAACGGGUAUUAGUCAAGGCUGAUGAGAGGGAAAAAAUGAAAGGAAAUUCAUCUUCCAGUGGUGCUGUUCCCGACCUCGGGCAUCUACCAGAAAACGACGCUAAAAAUAUAGCAGCAAUGCCCUUGGAUCAACAAGCACAAGUACUGCUAUUCAUGGAAGAAACAAGUAUGGGAGAUGAUGAAUGUCUAGGGCAAGUUGAGCUGAUAGCUGCACCGCCAGUUGAACCAAGAUGGACCUUUGAGCUAGGCAAGUCUCUAGUAAGGCCUGAGUUGGUACGGAAGCUAUCAACAAAGAUGUACGAAUUCCAUCAAUGGUACAUGAAGGUGUUUGCCGACUCGAGGAAGAUGUUCAGCCUUAAGGUAAAACCGAUAGAUUUUUACGGUGAAGGUAAGAGAGUCCUGUGGCUAGAAUUUAAGGAUAUAUACUGUAACGACCUCGGUUAAAAUCCUUCACGUUAAUCUUAAUCCGAGUCCCUGAUCCCCAUCCCAGCUUUCCCGAGUUUAAGUACUCAACCUCCAGCCCCGGUUCCGACCCCGGAGAUCCGACCCCUCUCUGUUUUCCCCAGUUCCGACCCCGCCGACCCCAACUCACCCGCCGGAUCUUUCUAAGUCCUCCCACAACGCCUCCCUUCAAUCUGAGCAGUGGACCACUGAGACUGACCGGUGGACCCACAAAAUCUUUUCCUCAGAUCUCCCGCGACAGACGCACUCGAGUAGCAUGCCCGCUUCAGUGUUCCCUUGCCGCGUCGCUCAACUUCUCCGACGCCCGCCACUCCGCCUCGUCGCCGGCCACGACCGGAUGGAUUCUCGCGCCCCCCUUCCCCAAUCGCAGCGGAAGCUCCUCUGCUACCUUUUCUGCAGCACCUCGCCGCCCACGCCCAUCAUCACCUCGGCAGACCCCGGCUGCAGAGCCCGAUGCCGCCCGUCUUUUCCGUCGCCCCUCCACAGUUGCGCCGCCCCGGUCCGCGCUACGUGACGAUUCCUCCUCCGCCAACCCAGACCACGGCUGCGACAGCUCCUUUUCUGCCCUGUCAGAGCUCCGCCCCUGACAAUCUGUUGCUCCGCGCUCACCAGCGCAACUGCCGCCGCCUGUCUUCUCACCUGUGCGCCCUCAUUUCUAGCGCCGUUCCUGUGGUCACUUCCAUCAGAUCCACCGCACGACCACGCCCGCCUCCGCCAAAUCUCAACCACCGGCAAAAACCACGCCUGUGCCGCCCUGUCAUCGGUGCCCAAUGACCGCCGGUGCCAUCCCCAAAGUCCUGUUCCACCGACGUCGUUGCUCAAUCGCCGCCCCGGCAGCGCACUCCAUCGUUUCUUCCCCGGCCUUCGCGCUGCUUCCCCCUUCUCUCUUCCGCGCAGCUAUAAAAGGGAAUGCCAGAGCUCCGCCGGAGUUCCCCUUUGCCAUCGCUGCCCUCCCGCUUUGCUCCUUGUUCGUGCUCACAGCGCCACCGCCUAAGUUCCUGAGGAACUCUCCUCUCCGCUCCACACCGUUUGUCCCCAAUCCGCCCAGCCUCUUACUCCCCGUGCUGCACAAGAGCUUGCUUGUGGUCCACCAGAAGCACUGCCGCCGCCGGAGCACCACCGGACAUCAUCGCCGCUGCCCAAGCCUUAGUCUUUCCGCCCAAGUCUGUUCUUUUCCGACCCCAAGCUUCAUCUGUAAGACGAAGGUAAGCUGCCGACCCUUUGUCCGUCUCGUCCGACCCCUCCUAUCCGCUCGACCCCUGUUCCGUCUCGCCCGACCCUGUCUGUUCCGCCGACCUUUCUCCGCCUCGCCCAAGGGCUCGACUGUAUCUUUUUCCUUGAACCGAGGGUAUAUGUGUAAAACUUGGGGACUUCUCUGCGUUAAGUCUGAGGACCCCUAGCACAUCUAUUCCUCUAGAUGAAGGGUCUGAUCAUAAGUUCCUUCCCAUCCGACCCUCAUAUCUUGAUCUCCACCAACUCAAGCGAACCUCCCCACCCUCCCGUAACUUGCCGCAAGUUUCUGGGCUCAAACUUGCAAGUGUUGUUGUUGAAAUAACCGUCUAAAUGCUAACCCAUGCAUUGCAUUCAUGUAGAGCUGUGUCUCGCCGACGGCUUCUACGAGCUGCACCCGGCGCCAGAAGACGAAGGUGUAGCCGAGCUCCUGCCUCCAGAAGCCGAAGCCGCCCAAGCAGAAGAGCAGCUUCCCUCCUCCUUGUUCGAAGGCAAGCCCCGGAUGCAUGAAUCCCCCUAUGUUUCACCAAACUUGCGCAUGCCUUCUUUAUCAUGCUUGUGCAUUUACGUAUAGGAGUUGUUUGGAACCAUAGAUGCAUGACUUAGAUCCCUUGAUCUGAUCACUAGCUGUUGGACCGGAUAGAUGCUUUGCUUAAAUAGGAAUCGGUAAAAGCCGAGUGAUUCCUGUCACUCGCGAGUUGUAGGGGUUGUUUGUUUCCGCUUCUAUUACAACUAUAAGGACGAUGGACGGGGCAAGGUUUUGGGUAACUCUUUGGUGGUUGGCUGAUCGCCCCGUCUAUCUAUGAAACUUGUUAAGGCCCGACAGUGGUGGUGUUCGUGAUCAAGUGUUUGAAAGUACUAAUCUCAUACCUAGUAUGGGAUGGGGAAGCCUAGUACCUGAUUGAACUAGGGCAUGGCUUAUACCCCUGCUGUCCCUGGAACGAGGUUCCCAUGGUGCAUCAUGUGGGUGCAAGUGCGGUCAUAGUACGGUAGAGACCGGGACUGUGGAGCAUUGCAUGCCAAGGGAAGUUUGGACCUGACACGCGCCUGGGAAUUGAUGGGGACGGCCAACAUGGGAAGCGACCCUUGUGAUGCGCGGAUGUCGUGAGAUUAGGUUCGCCAUGCAUGGUUAAGAAACCCGAAUCGAUUCAUCUGCCUCUCACAGUUUGAGACUGCUUGAUCGCUAUGUCACCCUGAGUAACAAAGGAAUCUGAUGAUAACAUGGUCUUGAUGAAUAUAUAUAUACCUUUUGGUUGGUUCUAUGUUUGCUUAGAGUAAGUUGCUAACUUAGAUCGGAUAAUGAACUUAGAACCUGAGCUAAAACUUGAAAGUAGGGAUACACCUAGCGCUUUUGGCAAACAAACCCCUCAGCCAAAAAGCCUUGCAUGUCUAGAAGUGGUGGAGUAGCGUACUCCCUGUCGGUUAUGUCUUGUUGAGCUUAGUAGCUCAGCCUUGUUGUGGCUCUUCUUUUUCAGGUGAAGUUGCUGCCCCUGAGCCCUCCUCUGUUGGCACUUGGCCGCCCCAACUCCCUCCGGGUUGGACGGUUGAGUGGGAUCCCUCCUCGGACGGCGAGGAGAGGGAUCACUGACGUCUCGGUUGGCCUCACCAGGGAUGUCCGACCCCGACGAAGUAGCUUCC